rnacentral:lncRNA from 1 species
UAUUGGAUUUUGAAUUAGCUUAUUUGAGAUAAGUUGAGUUGGGACUUGGGAGGUUAGAAGUGAUGUGAUGUAUUAGGUCAAAAAAUAAGUUGUGUAAUUAUAUUACUCAGAACUGUUGCCUGGUCUGAAGAGCUUGACUUAUAUAUGGAGUCAAUUGUUUCUCUUCUUUUUAAAAGCUCUCUAAUGUUUGCUUGACAAUGUAAACAUUUACUUUUUUGCCUUAGAUGAAAUUUAGCGUUUUUAGCGUUUGUUCAAUGUUAUGUAGUAAAACUUUUCUUCUUAAUGAACUCCGACUCUCUGGUACUUUAAAGUACUAAUCUCUUAAUUGCAUAAAAGUAACAUUACUUAUGUGCUCACCUUUCCAGGAGACUGCGCGUCAGUGUUGAGCAUGAUAUGGGCGGAAGUGAAGCUGCACCAAAAACUGUGAGAUUGUUUGUCCCCUAUUGGAUCCAAAAUGAUACCUCAGUGCCACUUUCCUAUCGAGUUGUAGAGCUGGAACCUUCAGAGAAUUCAGAUACCGACAAUCUCUUACUUACAAGAGCAAUAAAAUCCACAAAGCUCACCUUGAGGAAUUCCUCAAAAUCAUUGGACCGAUUAAAAACCAGCUCUCAGAGGAACAUUCAAGUAUUGGAGGUUAUUGAGGACUUCAAUCCAAAAUGUGUCAUGUUGUCUCCGCAAGACUACAUGAAUCGUUCUGGGGUUUUGCCCUUCCAAUCUAAGGGAGAGACAUUCACCUCCACACGUGUUGGCAUCUCUGUUGCAGCUCAUGAUUCUACGUAUUACAGUCCUGGAGUUUCUCUUCUCGAGCUUGAAAGCAAGGUAUGGAGGCACCUUCAAGCAUCUCUUUAAUGGUUUCUUUUUGUUUCUUGGGUCCAGAUUUCUCGUUAUAGGAAAUUGUCGAUAGUGUGAAGCUUAGCUAAGUUUUUGUGCAGGAACGUGUUGAUGUCAAAGCAUAUGCUUCUGAUGGGUCAUAUUACAGGCUCUCAGCCCAACUCAAGAUGGCUUCUGAUAGAACUAAGGUUGCAAUCUCCAUCAAUGUUGUUGGACCUCAAAAAAUUUUCAAUUCCACAAAAAGUGAAAAUUUUUUUGUUCUUAAUUCAUGAAUAAGGUUGUUUCGAGGUGAAUCUUAUAAAAUCCCAUUCUUUUUGCAGGUUGUUCAUUUCCUACCCCGAACGCUGUUUAUCAACAGGAUUGGGCGCAGUAUGUCUUUAUCUCAGUUUAAGACUGAUACUGAGGUGUUUCUACACCCAACUGAUCCUCCAAAAUUAUUUAAAUGGCAAUCCAACAUGGCAAAUGAGCUUCUGAAGGUUAGAAUUGACCAUUCCUAUUUCUAUUCACUUUGUUUAUACGUAUUCAUCUGAACUUACAUGAUAGGUGUCAUUUGUAAUCAGUUGCGCUUGGAUGGGUACAAAUGGAGUUCUCCUUUUAGCAUUGAAAGUGAUGGUAUCAUGUGUAUCUGCCUGAACAGUGAUACAGGAAAUGACCAAAUGUUUAUCAGAGUUGAAGUAAGAAAUGGAACCAAAAGCUCACGCUAUGAAGUUGUGUUUCGCCUUGCUUCUUCUUCGAGCCCUUACAGGUAUAUUAAAGGAAAGAAGAAAAGAAAUCAUUUUGCUUUCUAUUUUCCUUAUUUGUGUCUGGAUGAUGAUUCUAACUUCUCAUGGGCAGAAUUGAAAAUCGUUCCAUGUUCUUGCCUGUACGAUUUCGCCAAGUGGACGGUCGUGAUGACUCCUGGCGCAGUCUGCCCCCUAAUUCUGCCUCUUCAUUUUUCUGGGAGGAUCUUGGUAGACAACGGUUACUAGAGAUCAUGGUUGACGGAACAGAUUCCUUAAGUUCUAAUAAGUACAACAUCGAUGAGGUCAAGGAUCAUCAGCCCAUUCCAACAUCAACUGGGCCCAUUAAGGCGUUGCGUCUUACUGUUCUGAAAGAAGGUAAGACGCACAUUGGUCGAAUUAGUGACUGGAUGCCACGAAAUGAAACUCAACAACAGAUAAAAGAAAGAAUUUCAUCGCCAAUUUUCCUACCGUCAGAGGUUGACUAUACAGAGUCUUCUGUGACCUCGGAUAGUGAAUUUCAUGUUACUUUUGAUCUAGCAGAUUUGGGCUUAUCUGUUAUUGAUCAUAUGCCCGAGGAAAUUCUAUAUCUAUCCAUACAGAAUCUCUCACUUACUUAUUCAUCUGGGUUGGGCUCUGAGAUUAGUAGGUAAGAACAAUUGAUUGUUGAUAAUUUCUGCAGCUAUUUUUGUGAAGCGAUACUAUCUUAUACUAUUUUUUUCUUAACGGCAGAUUUAAGUUGCGGAUGAGUUGGAUCCAAAUAGAUAACCAAUUACCUUUUACCCCAUUGCCAGUUCUUUUUAGUCCACAGAGUCUGGGGAAUCAACUGGACUACAUUCUGAAGUUCUCAAUGACCAUGCAAACUAAUAAUUCUCUAGAUUUUUGUGUGUAUCCAUAUGUUGGUUUGCAGGUAAGAUUUGUUCCAUCUUGUUCAUGAAUAAAUUUGUUUUUUCUAAGUUUCUAUAAAUAAAAUAGGUUAAUGUAUCUUUUGAUAAUCUAUUUAAUUGUUGUCUACUGCUACGAUGACACAUAAUUCCUCCGUCCAUUACAUGAAUGUUGAUUUUCUCUUUUAUGUCCCUCAAAAACUUAUUUGCAUAUGUUUUAGUGUUUUAAGGAGCAAAUGUUCAAGUCGUAGACAUUUAAUUCAUGUGUAAGCCUUUUUCUUUUGAGGAAUAGACAAGUAAUUACGCGUACGCGCGUGCACGCACAUAAAGCUAUGCUAGAAUACUUCUAGAAGUAAACAGAGGUGUAUACUUCUUUGCCGUUCUGACAAUGGAGCAUCCAAAUCAACAGUAGACACUGUUAAACUUGAUCUAGACUAUUUGUACUUUGUAGAUUCUGAAUUUCACAAUUUUCUGACAUCAUUUGCCUAGUAUUUGAAUGGUCUUAAAAUUGACUUAUUUUAAUGUCUAAUAUAAGAUGAAGUUGAAACAACUUGAUCACUACACAAAUGAUCAUGGAAAAUUACGAAAUUUGAUUCUUAUGAAGCCCAAAUAGCCUAAAUCAUGUUUAACGGUAUCGAUCAUCAAUUCGGACGCCUCAUCGUAGAAACGACAUGGAAGUGAACUCCUCUGUUUACUUCUAGAAGCAAUCAUGUUUAACGGUAUGGAUCAUCGAUUACGAAGCUCUAUCAUCGAAAAUGACUUCUGAGUACGAAGACAAUCGUACUUAUAAGAGUAUGGUAGCCGGACUCUAUAUAUAUAUAUAUAUAUAUAUAUAUAGAGAGAGAGAGAGAGAGAGAGAGAGAGAGAGAGAGAGAGAGAGAUAUAUNGCUAUUAAGAGUACAGCAGCCCGUAUGCUUUUAAGUUCCUAACUAGUAUAGUUAGAAUGAGAGUAAUAAACAUUUUGGGCCAGUGAAUUGGACCCAAUUCAAAACAUACAGAUGAGUGUCCACGGAUCUCGAUUGUGAUCUGGCCCAACCAACCUCAUAUCACGAGUGUAGAUAUAUAUAUAUAUAUAGAGAGAGAGAGAGAGAGAGAGAGAGAGAGAGAGAGUUGAGCUAGAAUACUAUCAGUAGCAAACAGACUCCGUUGCCACCCAUUUGUUUUCGAUGAUGGAGCCUCCAAAUCGAUGAUUGACACCGUUGAAUAUGAUCUAUACCACUUGAAGUAUCUAGAAAUCAAAUUUCAUACUUUUCCGAUAUUGUUCUCUUAUCCAUCAAGUGGGCGUAAAAAUGAACAGCUGAAAAUGAAUAUCAUCUAAAAAGUGAUGAUAGGAAUUUUGUAAUCAAAAUCGAGAGUAUAGAUCUUAUUCUAAAUAGUUUAAAAAAUUUUCUAACCAAAAUUCAAUUGAUUUGGAUAGCUUUACACCGUUAAACGAGAAAACGCCUUAUAUCUACUAUUAAAAUUACAAAUUUUGAAACCCUUUGAUCAUUAGGUCAAUGAUGUCGAAAUGAUUUGAAAUUUGGUUUCUAGAUACUUCAAGUGGUAUAGAUAAUGUUCAACGAUGCCGAUUGUCAAUUUAAAGGCUCCAUCAUCGAAAACAAAUAGGUGGCAACGGAACCAUUGCUACCGAUAGCAUUCCAGCUCAACUCUCUCUCUCUCUCUAUAUAUAUAGAGUUAACGGGCUAGAUUACUAUUUGUAGUAAAUGGGCUCUGUUGCUAUCUAUUUGUUUUUUUAUCACUAGUAUAAUAUUUAUUUUGCUGUAGAUAGUAUAAAAAGAAAUUUAUCAAAAUUUUAUCUGAUUUGGAUACUUUUAACUAUUAAACUUGCAAACGGCACACAUCAACUAUUAAAAAUUAUUGAUUUUUAACCCUUUCAAUCACUAGGUAAAUGAUAUUGAAAAACCGCAAAAUUUAUUUUCUAAAUAUUUCAAAUACGCUAGAUCAAAUCUAACAGAGCUGAUCGUCUAUUUGAAAGUUCCAUCAUCAAAAACGGCUUAGAAGCACGGAGGCUUCUGUGCUCUUAAGAGCAUGACAGGCUUCUGUGCUCUUAAGAGCACGACAGCCCUACUCAAUCCCCUAAGAUAGGAUACUAAUGAUAGUAGAGGAAUAGUGUUUGCUUAUGUAAAUAGUGUUUGCUGCCAACUUUUUUAAACCUUGGAUGCUUAGGGUUUACUAUUUAGUGGUGGUACUAUUAUGAAUCCAAGGAUAUGCACUAUUCAUGUGUUAUUGAGAGUAUUGUACGUUGAACCUCUCUCUCUCUCUCUCUCUCUCUCUCUCUCUAUAUAUAUAUAGAGAGAGAGAGAGAGUUCACCUAGAAUACUAUCUAUAGCAAAUGCAUAGCGUUUACUAUCAACUUUCUAGCCGUUGGAUCAAUACUAUUCCACCUACCACCACUAGAUCCUAGGCGUCCAAGGGCUAAAAUGUAGAUAGUAAAGAAGAUUCAUUUACUAUAAAACGUAUUCUAGCUUUAUAUAUUAUUGUGUAUAAUUGUUCAGAGAACUGAAUGUUUUUCACUCCUUCAUAGGCUCCUGAUAAUUCUUCAUUUUUGGUGAACAUUCACGAACCAAUUAUUUGGCGUCUUCAUGAAAUGCUGCAACAAGUGAAACUUGGCAGGGUAUUUGGCUCUCAAUCUGCUGCUGUUUCAGUAGAUCCUACUAUUAAAAUUGGGUAUGCAAAAAUGUUAUGAACUUUUUUCCGAAGUUUUUGGUUUGUUUGUAUUCAGAACAUACUUAUAAUAAAUGACUCUUAUUUGUUAGGCUUCUUAACAUCUCGGAGAUCCGAUUCAGAGUAUCCAUGGCUAUGUCACCUGCUCAGCGGCCCAGAGGUGUUCUUGGAUUCUGGUCCUCUUUGAUGACUGCAUUGGGAAACAUGGAGCAUAUGCCGGUAAGACUGCUAUUUACAAUGAUUCUACUAAUUAGUCCACAAACUUAUGCAACUGCUGUUGAUUGCAAUCUUGCAUUCAUGGAUAUGCUUGAGCAUGCAUUCUUUGUCUGCUUGACCUUGCUUCUAGAGCAGCUUUUCUGCUAUAGAAAGUUGAAUCUUACGAAAAUCAAGCAUUUGGGCAACAAAAAAAUUUGGAAAUUUUUCUGUGGUGGGAAGUUAAAAUGAUUUUUUCAGCCUUAAAAGUGAAAGCUUUAAUUUGAAGCUUCUUAAACAGCAUUUGAGCCGAAGAUCUAGCCAUGCCAAACGAGCCCCUUAUCACUUUUAUUGCUUGAAUAACUUGUAUGCAACAAUUCUACAUUGCUGUAAUUUUUGUAAGCAUGUUUGCAUAUUUCAGGUACGUAUUGCUCAAAGAUUCCGUGAGGAUGUAUGCAUGCGUCAAAGUGCUCUUAUCAGCAAUGCAGUAUCUAAUAUCCAGAAGGAUCUUCUUAGCCAGCCCCUUCAACUACUCUCUGGUGUUGACAUUCUUGGGAAUGCUAGUAGUGCACUUAGCAACAUGAGUAAAGGUGUCGCAGCUUUAUCUAUGGAUAAGAAAUUCAUCCAGAGUCGACAAAAACAGGUUAACUCGAGAUUCCCAUUUCUCUGAACCAUCAUUCAAAGUACCUUAUUCGUGACAUCUUGUUCCUUUAUAAUGCUUCUUCCAGGACAGCAAAGGUGUAGAAGACAUUGGCGAUGUCAUAAGAGAGGGAGGUGGAGCUCUGGCUAAGGGACUAUUUAGAGGAGUGACUGGCAUAUUAACAAAGCCGAUUGAAGGUGCGAAAUCUUCUGGUGUCGAAGGCUUUGUUCAAGGUGUUGGGAAAGGCAUAAUUGGUGCUGCUGCUCAGCCUGUGAGUGGGGUCCUCGAUCUUCUAUCAAAAACUACUGAAGGAGCUAAUGCUGUGAGGAUGAAGAUAUCAUCUGCUAUAAUGGCGGAAGAGCAGUUGAUCCGUAAGCGGCUCCCUCGAGUAAUUGGGGGUGAUAACUUGCUGCGCCCUUAUGAUGAAGAAAAAGCAGCAGGGCAGGUGAUAAAACAUUUUCUUUUUUGCAUGUUAGGAACUUUAACUUACAAUCAAGGAUUUAAGUGCCCAUCGGCACGGAUCAUAUCUACCGUGCCAUAUCGUGCCAACAAGAUAUCGGCACGACACAGACCCCGUGUCGAUGGCACAGCUCGAAACCCUCUAUUCUUUAAAUUAGUAAGUAAUUUUCUCAAUAAAGUUCAAAAGAUUUAAUAAAAAUACAUAAUAAACAAUUAGAAUAAUUUUGUUGCUAAAGAAAAUAAAUAAAUUCAUGCUAUUAUGUGUCGGCACACAUGAAUUUUUUGUGAUCGGCACGCAUCUGCACGGCCCAGCACACACCGUGCCAUACCACAGCACUUAAAAUCCUUGCUUACAAUGUGAGUUUGAUCUAUAGGGCUCCCCUAGUUUACCAAUUUGUGUUCCUUUUAUUUUGUUGAUUGUGUAUAUCCUUUCCAAAUGAAGACACUAGUUCUACCAUUUUGGCUCGUCCUUUCAGUGCUUAAGCAUGAACCUGAGACAUACACUGUACCUAUAUUAUGGGCUUUUUUUGCAUCUAGCCCCCUAGAAAAAAAUUAUUUUAAAAAUAGCCCCAGCAAAUUUAUAUUUGCACUUUUGGCCCUCACCCUGCCACGCAAACGCCACGUCAGCACCACGCAAGCGAGGCUGGGUAAGGGUGUUAAGUUGAACACGGGGAACCAUUCACCGUGUCCAAACAUGGUAAAUGGUUUACCGUGUCUAGAGAAAAUACAAAUAUAUGUAUUUUUUGCAAUAUAAAUAUUGAAAAGAGGAAUAGGGAGUAGGAAUUCCAAUGGGUAUGGAUACCCGAAAUAUUAUCCCAACCCAAACCCGAAUAAAUUAUUUAUAUACAUAAUUUAUUUUUAUUUAUUUAUACAAUAUAUAAAAUAUUUAAUAAUUUUUAUCCCUUAGAUCUUCAUCCAACAGUAUGGAUUUUUAAAACCAGCCGGGUUCGGGUCCGGGUUCAGGUUUCAGGUUUUUGGUCGGGUAUGGAUAUGGGUAUGGAUUUUUAAAACCCACAGGGUUCGGAUCCGGGUUCGGGUUUUAAUUUAAUUUUCGGGUUCGGAUUUUUGAAAAGGAAAAGAAGAGGAAUAUAAAUAUGAAACACGGUGAACCAUUCACUGUAUUUAAACACGGUAAAUAAUUCACCGUGUUCAACUUGCCAAGCAGGCUCCCAGCCUGCCCACAUGGCCCCUGCGUGGCAGGGAUAGGAUACUGUAGAUUACUGUAGUCACAAACUUCUUGGCAAUUUUAAGGGUAAAAUUGUCAUUGAUGUUAUUUACGCCAUCUAGUUUAACCUUCCUAGUUUUCAUGAGCAUAUCUUUUUUAAGUCAUCAGCAAUGAUUAAGGUACCCACCGGCACGGGCCGUAUCCACUGUCAUACCUCGCCAGCAAAAUAUCGGCAUGAUACAGCCCCCGUGCCGAUAGCACAACUCAAAACCAUCUAUUCUUGAAAGUAGUAAGUAAUUUUCUCAAUAAAGUUCAAAAGAUUUGAUAAAAAUACAUAAUAAAUAAUUGGUGUAUUUUGUUGCUAAAGAAAAUAAAUAUUUCAUGUCAUUCCGUGUUGGCACACAUAUAUUUUUUGUAACCGACACGCAUCAGCACGGUCCGACACGCACCAUGCCGUACCAUGCAGACAGGUUUCCGACACGACCCCGUACCACGGUACUUAAAUCCUUGGUCAUCAGAGACAUUACAAAUACUUCUCUACUCUUGGGUUGUUGGUUUGAUAUGGUUCUCUGGCUUUAAUAUAUUAUUUUCUUGUGCAUAUUAAAUUCCUUCAUUGAAACUGGCAAUUUUUUCAUAUUUGGCACAGCAUUCUAGUGUGUUUUUGCUUUGCCAAGAUCAAGCACUAUCUUGAGAGAUUACUGUAGGUUGAUAACUGUUUGUUAAAGAUCGGUUAGUUCUUUCAAGAAGCCUUCAAAAUAAUAAUGUGCUAAUUUUUUACCUUCUGUUUCAUGAAAAUCAGAGCGACCACACUUGUUUGUUUAGUCUUUAACAGCAUAUUGUUUUAGAACUCUUGCAAUAUAUUAAAUAUCCAUUCUCUCAUGUUUUUAUGUUAGUAUUGCAUGCUAAUGUAAAACAAUUUUUUCUGUCUCAAUCAGGCUAUCUUGCAGCUUGCUGAAUCUGGCUCUUUCCUUGGUCAAGUCGACCUCUUUAAAGUCCGCGGGAAAUUUGCAUUUUCAGAUGCUUACGAAGAUCAUUUCUUACUCCCUAAAGGAAGGAUCGUUCUAGUUACCCAUCGAAGAGUUUUGUUACUGCAGCAACCUGCUAAUAUUCUAGCCCAACGGAAGUUUAAUCCCGCUAGGGAUCCAUGUUCUGUGAUCUGGGACGUUCUAUGGGAUGAUUUAGUGACGAUGGAGUUGACACACGGAAAGAAGGAUCAUCCAGGAUCGUUACCUUCCAGACUUAUCCUGUAUCUGCAAAUGAAGCCCUCCGAUUCCAAGGAAGCUGUUCGUGUAAUCAAAUGUAGUCGUGGAUCCGAUGAAGCCGCCAGGAUUUAUGCAUCCAUUCAAGAAGCAAUGAGAAUUUACGGUCCAUAUGCUUUGAAGGUAACUAAUUCAUCGAUGCUCAAUAAUCCAGCAGCAGAUAUUCAUAGGACAAAUGUAUUUUAUAUCCUGAAAUAGGACUAUGAAUAAUGUAUUUUAUAUCUUGAAAUAGGAGUGUGGUUUGCUUACUUUUUUUCCUUUCACAGAAUGCACACAAGCGGAGGGUACCAAGACCAUAUACCCCACGUAGUACCAUUGGCCGAUCUGAAGUAUUUCCAAAGGAAGUUUUUGGUAGUGGGGGUGUUCAAGAUGAACACAAGUCUGUUCCUCUGGAUUCAUCCUUUGGAACAGUUAAUGCUCAAUCGCCAAAUCGAUAGCCCCUUCGGCGUACCUAUUUUCUGAUUAUUGUCAAUUAACAGAAGAGUUCACAUUGCUGCUCAUUCCUGGUAAACUAUUCAGGGCAAGAGCAACAUGCGAAUGUAUAUCUGAGUGUUACAAAGCUGAGAGCUUCAGAUAUGAUGCAUGCUAACUACAGAUCCUAUACGCCAUAAAGGUAUGACGAACAACAAAAUGAUGCUCCUUACAAUUGCAUGACACGUCAAUGCCUUGCGGUUAUAGUUCAUCGAACUACUUUGAAAUUUUAGGCUUGUAUCGAAGACGACAUAAUCUCGCUCGCAGCUGUUGGGGAAAUUGCCUUACAACUUCUCUUCCAACUACCCAGCAUUGGAAUCAGGCACACUAAUUGUGUAUACAGUGAUUUUCAAGGGUUAUAUAGCUAUGGAGCCGCAUGAAGUUUUUUCUAUUGUUCCAUUGUUGGGACCUGCAUCUUUUCUGUCCAAAGGGAAUUCAACUAAACAUUGUAAAUUUGGUGUAUAUGCUGUUGUAUAUAAUGAUUAUUUUUGGAGAUUUUAACCCACUAGCCCUCUCCAAAAAAUUUUAUUCUAAAUAAAGAUCAAACUUUUAAUUGUAAAUCUAGGCUUUUAUUGAGUCCGGAAAGAAUAAGAAGAGCAGUGAACUAUUCACCACUUUCAUUAAAGCAGUAAGAAAUUUGUAAUCUCAUAAAAGCGGUGAAUAGUUCAUCGUUUUUAAAACUAGGGUACUAGUUCAUCGCUUUUAAAACUAGGGUAUCAUUCACCGCUUUCAGAAGAACAUAGAACACACUCUUUAAUUUUUAUUAGUAGUGAAUGGCUCACUGCUUUAAGUAUUUUUUACUUUCAGCCCCAAUUUUUUUUUUUCAAGUACCCUGUAAUUAUACAGUAGUAUUUCUAUCGGGCAUUUUAAUCACAAUAACAAUUAUUUAGAUUUGAGUUAAAUUAGCUUCCACUAGUCAUAUUGAAUGUACAAUAUCAUAAAAAAAAUCAAAUAUAUAUAGAAAUACAAACGAAAUGCAAACAUAAAUCAACUCCUUUCCACGCCAUUACCACGCUCUCGUCCUCUACAAUGUCUGCGUUUGUGCCGUCAACCGUGUCCUUGAGCUCCAUUAGCUCCAUUGCGCUCUCGACAAUCAGCUUCGUGUCUUGCAUCCCAACUACUGAAGGCAGCAUGUACUCCUGCAUCUCCACUAUUGGUUCAGUAAUAAGUAUAAUCCUGCUGUUGUCACUUACAAUCGAUAUAUAUUAUCAAUCUGAGAUAGAGUGGAUGGAACGUUAGACGGAGGAUUCAGCGUUGAGAAAUAUGAAAGUCUGAAGUGGCCAGGCUGCCAGGUGAAGGGAUCAACGUAGACAAAAUAUCAACUUGACGAAACAUCCGAUGGGAUGGAAUGAAGGGAUCAGUGCGAAUGAAAUAUCAAGCUGAUGUACCUUUGACAUAGAUGGAACGUAAAAUGAUGGAUUGAUGUGGAUAGAGAAGGGGCCGAUGCUGACUGAAUAUCAAAAUGAAGAACCUCCUCGCCUGAUCUACCCUAAAAUGUCAUACAUUGUACAGGUUCCAUAGGCUCCGGUGCAUGCUGUAAUAAUCCAAAUUGGCGUAAUACCCUGUCGGGUGGAUGUAACUCUACUAUAUGAUAGCAUAUCAAACAUGUCGAUCAAAAACAUCGAUUCAAAAGAUAGGAAGACCAACUAAUAACUUUGGCUAAAUUGGCAAAAAGCAAAUUAAGUCAUGCUAGACAUGAUUAAAGUGGAUUUAGAGAAGUAUAGGCCGGGUUUGGAUCAAAUUGCCAUCAAAAAGGAGUUCAUAAAAAAGGAAAAAGUGAAUUCCAGACUAUUUGAACACUCGGAACAGGAAUUUGGGCGUUCGAAAUGGAUUCUUCUGAAGCGCUUGAAUGAGCGGACGCUUUUCCAAAGAGCAAGAUUAGCGAGAGGCCAAUGUUCGGGCGUCCGGAUUUGCCCCUUGGGCACCUGGAUCUUUUCGAAUCCCACUUGAGGGCGUCUGGAACCCUUCGAAACUCCCAACCCAAGAGCUAGAUCACAAUGGACAAAGCAUUCGGGCGACCGAAUGGCUCUAUGGCACUCGAAACAUCUUUCGGGCUGCCAACUCAACCUAAGAGUGUAGUAGCGCUAUGAAUUAAGGAAUCAAAUGCCCGGUUUCCCCGCGGGCACUCAAAAGGCUAUUCGAGUGAAUUAGUUGAGCAUCCGGAUUAGCGACUGGGCAUAGCUACGUGCGUUUCGAGCGCUUGAAAGUUCAGGUGGGUGCCUAAAACGUAGCUUAACUCACUUGGCCCCAAAAGUGAACCUUUUCGUGCUGACAUUGGAUGAGAAGUGUAACACCCCCGUCCCACAUUAGAUAGAAAAAUAAUUUUGAUUAAAAUAUAUGAGGCCUACGCGCUAGUAAUAAUAACUGGGCUUAAUCAUUUUGGCCGGUGAUUUGGAUCCAAUGAGUUCUUAUUGCUAUCGAAUCCGGUUGUUACAAUUGGUAUCAGAGUCAAAUACCAUGCGGAAGUAUGAGAGCUAAGUGUUAUAUGGGACAAAGUGCUAUACCAACGGAUUUGAUGGGAGCCACCUUUUGAACCCGUAACAGCCACCUCUAGAAUCUCACAUUAUCUGGUAAUUCUGGUCUGUCUGCAUCUGUAAUAUGGUUUGGAUCCGAUGAGGACGUCAUGUCUAAACAUGGGGAGUUUGUAACGCCUUAAUAGUCCCACAUCGGAAGAAAAGACGAUUCUGAUUAAAAUAUAUGAGGUCUGCAUGCUAGUAAUAAUAACUGGGCUUAAGCAUUUUCGGCCGGUGAUUUGGGCCCAACGAAUUAUUGUUGCUAGCGGAUCGAGUCAUUACAAGGAGUAAAUGCACCUAGGUUAGUAUUACAAAAUAGCUUUUGUAUAAUUAUUUAAUAUAACAAAUAUUUAGGUUGCCUUCUCCCAUCAAUUGUAGGAAGUACGAAGUUCCGAAUGUAGUUGUUGGUGGUCCUCCUCCCCUCCCCACGUACCAUUCACCCUACCAUGGCAUCUAGUUCUCAUGCCCGGGUGGAGAGCAAGGCGUCUUAUGCGAAGAAAGAUUAGAAUACGCUAUAAUUAAUUUAAUCAUACACCAUUUUUUUUUAUUAGAAAGUGAUUAAUUAUGAAAUAAUUGCGUAUUUCAUAUCUCUCAUGAUGUACAUGACUUUGGAUCGUAUCCAUUGAGAAUUUCAUACCUCUCAUGAUGUACAUGACUUUGUAUCGUAUCCAUUGAGAAUUGAGAAUGACGGAAUAGAAAAUCAGGCAGAAGUGCAAUAAGAAAUAGUUGAAGACAGUUACACUAUUGAUCAGGAGGGUGUUGAACAUGAACCUUCGAAUUUGGCUUUAAUGAGAAUAUUGUGGCGGAAGAUCACCACUAUUGAUCAGGAGGGUGUUGAACAUGAACCUUCGAAUUUGGCUUUAAAUGAGAAUAUUGUGGCGGAAGAUCACCACUAUUUGAUAUUCCCGUCAACAUCUAUCCCUCCAUUUGAUAUUCCAUCUACGUCAAAGGUACCCUAUUUUGAUAAUCCAUUCACGCAUAUCCCUCCCUCCAACGUUCCAUUAACAUUGGAGGUUCGUUGCGAUAAUGUUGUAAAUUGACGUAGGCGACGACGACAAGGUCAUAUUGAGACGUUGGAAGGGAUACUGCCAUCGGCCGUUGAGUAAGGGAUGGAGCCGAUUGUCGAGGGCACCGCCAUCGAGCAUAUUGAUCAGAUGCAUGGUAUUGAGCCCGUGCGUCCUGAGAUGGAGCAUAAUAUGCAUAUUCAAGGACGGGAUCGAGGACGCGAACGUGGACGUGGAAGUGGCAGGGGACGAGGGCAAGAGCAUCGGAGGAGCAUGUAGGGGCAUGAUAUGCAUAUUCAAGGACGGGAUCGAGGACGCGGACGUGGACGUGGACGUGGAAGUGGCAGGGGACGAGAGCAAGAGCAUGGGAGGGGCAUGGAGGGGACUUGAUUAUUUUAUUAUUUUUUGGAUUUCCAUGAAUAUUUGAUAUUUUUGAUCUUUUCCACAUAAAUUUUUUUAUAGUAUUAUCUUAAAUUUAUUCAUAUUGAAGUGUGUUGAUAUUGGUAUAGCUUAUUUUAUAUGCUUAAAGUUUAGUUGAAGUUGGUAUAGAUAAAUUUAUGUACUUAUUCCUGUAAUUGAAAUACUUGAAAAUAUUGUUAUUUUGUAUAAUGUGGAAAACUUGCAACUUGUUGCUAUGGGUGCGAUACAAGUUAAAGGCGGUGAAUGGUUCACCGCCUUUAAAGACGGUAAUUUACCACCUUUAAAUGCGAUGAAUGAUUCACCAUCUAUAUAUGUGGUAAUUCAUUUACCGCCUUCAUCAUGUUUUAUAAUGUUUCACGAGUAGGGAAUAUUACAUAAAGGUGGUGAACCAUUCACCGCCUUCUUAGAUUUUUUUUAAAAAUUUAUGAAAGCGGUGAACCAUUUGCCGCUUUCAUGUGAAAGCGGUACAUGGUUCACCACUUUAAUUUCCCUCCGUUGGCUCACUGCCUACGUGUCAAUUCCAAGCCUAUUUUCACAAAUAUUAUUUUCAUAGGCCUAUUUUUAGAAUAAAUUGUUUUGAUGAGGUUAGUAGGCUAAAAACACUAUUUUCGGCGUUUGCACCUACUAGAAAUUUAUUUCAAGUUCUUACCCGUUUGUUGCUUACUCCUUUUCAGAUCAUACUACCACCGGUGAGGCACAGGACAGCGGCAACGGCGUCAUGGAGUAGCUAAAUCUGUGAGUUGGUCUGGUGUGUACCCAUUUUGUAUAAACAAAGAGAACGUGUAGUAUUUUGGAUUCGAACAAAGAUGAAUGAUAGUUUAAUUUACUUUUAUUAUUUCUCAACUUGGGAUCAAAAAAAAAAAAAAAAAAAUCCAAGACAAAUAAUCACAAGGCAUUAUAAUUGGAAAUGUUGCUUGGCGUUCAGGAAACCUGUGUAUCAAACAUCAUACAUUCAGACACCAAUUUUGAAAAAAUCGAACAAUAUCAUUCUCUAGGUCGCCACAUACUGGUUUGAAACACAUUUAAUGCAUAGAUAAUAAAUUUCAAAACUAAAAAAUUCUUCUAUACAUGAACUCGUAUUAUCAAUCUGAUCUAUAAAUUUAAAUUUAGUGGUGAAAUUGUAUAGAGCGGACUAUCCAACUUUCAAAAAUUCACAUUGUAUUAUCCAAGAUUUUAAGUGUCCGUCGACACGGACCGUAUCCACCGUGUCGUACCGUACCAACAAGAUACAGGCAAGAUACAGACUCCGUGCCGAAUUGCCGAUGGCACAGCUCAAAACCCUCUAUUCUUUAAAUUAGUAAAUAAUUUUCUUAAUAAAAUUCAAAAGAUGUAAUAAAAAGACAUAAAAAAUAGUUAAAAUAUUUUGUUGCUAUUUUGUUGCUAAAGAAAAUAAAUAUUUUUUUGACCGGCACGCAUCGGCACGGCUCGGUACGCACCGUGCCGGCAAGUUUUCGGCACGAUCCCGUGCCACGGCACUUAAAUCCUUAGUAUUAUCUAACCUUUUAAAUAGUUUGAUUUGCCUUCUUAAAUAUACUCGUAAGCGCCUAGUGCAUCCAGAUAUUUUUACACAUAAAUUUUCUUCUUUUUUUUUUAACAUGCAGCUCACGUUGCUAAUUCAUCGGCUCAAUAUUUUAAUAAGAAAAUACAAUUUAUUGGACGAUCGAGAUUCAACAAUCAAACAAAAAAAAAGACCAUUAGAAAGGCAGUAUACAAAUAUGCAAAUGCAACCGGAUACACACUAAUUUAUUUAUUUUUCUCAGUUUCGUAUACUUUCACCAAAUUUAAUUUUAGCGGUCUGGGUGGGAAGCAUCUCUGUUCCACUAAAUGACAUGUUUGCACGGCAGUAGAUGUGUCUCUGCACCAUUAGCAAAAGAUCAACAAAAGAGGAAUGAAUAUAAUAAGAGGAAUAAGAUUACCAAUUGAAUUCAACACUAAUUCUCCAUAUACAGAACCCUGAGGCUUCUAAAUAAUAAUAAUAAUAAUAAUAAUAAUAAUAACUUGGAUAUGGGCCAUCAUAAAGAAUCACGACAUUGUAAACACAAGUAGAACGAGAUACUGCCCCUAAACUCUGAAAAACAUCACCCAAAUUUAUGUUUAAAAAAGGAGAUUCAAUUAAACCUUCAAAUAGCUUCUUAAACAGGGAAAUAAAAAAUCUUUAUCAUUCAUUUACCGAAGCAAAGCACUAAAGAGAGAGAGAGAGAGAGAGAGAGAGAGAGAGAGAGAGAGCUCAUCCAAAACCAUUUCAAUGUCAAAACAACAUAUACUCAGAAAUAGCAACAAACCAGAACAAAAAUUCAUGCCAUUAGCAACUAACACAGAGGCAAGCAUCUAGCGCCUGCUGGUUUUUCCGAUACUACGCUUCCCGGAGAACAAGUGCUUCGGCUUCAAGUCGACGAUGACCCGAUCUGCCUCUCCCUUGCGAGCAGCUUUAUUCCUCUUCUUCACAGAUUUCUUCCCAAUCUUUAUCGCCUUGAGUUUCUGGGCUGAGUCCUUGAAUCCUUCUCCAGGGGAAACUUCACCAGGCGGCCGCGACUUCGACCUGGACCUCGACCUGGACCUCAACCUUAGCUUCUUGUUGGCUUGCUCUCCGUCUACAUCCAUGGCUUCGCCCUCUCCUUCGCUAUCCCUACCCACCAAUGAUCUCUCACGCUUCCGACCCCUCAUCGACACCGACCUACUCCGUGCACGGUUAAUAGCUGCAGUGGGGUCCAACCCGAUGGCAGAAAGUUGCCUCCCCAUCCUCUCAGUUGUGAACUUUCUAUCCUUGUCAAACUUUCUUGGAACAAUGGGGCGGCUCUCGGCGGUGCUCUUCUUCAUUCUAUGUUCUUGGAUGAGCAACCUCUUCUUGUGCCUAAUUGCCGCCAAAGCCUCACGCUCUUGAGGAGACAGGUCUUCAUCGUCAUACUCAAAAUCUUGUUCCUCCACCUCAAGCCGAAGGCCCUCCUCUCUUUCCAACUCUUCCAGCCUCUGCAGUAUAUCGGGAUCGACGAAAUCAGCAAUAUUGUGCCCAUCUACUAUCUCUGGCAUUAUAUCUUCCUUCCACUCCUCGUUGGCCAAUAAGUAGUGCUUCCUUAAGUUUGCCGAAUAAACACCGGCCCCACCAUUCUCGUUCUCCAGAUCCUUCUCAAGCUUCCUCUUUGCCUUCUCAGCAGAAGCCUCUUUAGCUCGGGCUUCCAAAACAGCUUGAGGAAUGCAGGGCGGCCGCUCCUUGUUGUCACGAGGUUUUGGCAUAGCAACAUGGAACCGAUUCAAGCAUUCAUUUAUCUUCUUCGACUUCAUCUUCACCUCCACCCUCUGAUCGAGGAGCCUUUCGCAAGCAGCAUUCUUAACGGCCAUCACCCCUUCAUCUGUUAAAGUGCUCAUGGUCACUAGCACUCCCUCAUCAUUAGGCGCUCCGCCUUGCGCCGCCGCAGCCUUCAUGGCCUCGGCCUUCAUCUCCAUCACCAGCUUCUUGUCCUCCUCAGAAAGCCCCUCCAACGGCUGGAGAUCAAUCUUGUUGCACACGAUAAUAAGAGGCUUAUUCAUAAACAGCGACUUAAUGCUGUGGAAGAGCGCCGCCUGCUGGGCAAUGCUGUACCCACAAGCCCCCGAAAUGUCUAACACGAAAAGCACAGCCGCCCUUAGAUGCGCGAGGGCGGUGAUGCUGCACAUCUCUAUAAUGUUCCUAUCCUCAAAUGGACGGUCAAGAAUCCCUGGGGUGUCGAUAACUUGGUAGCGGAGGUACUUGUAAUCGGUGUGGCCCACAAGUAAGGAUUUGGUCGUGAAGGCGUACGGCUGGACAUCCACCUCAGCCCUAGAGACCUUGUUCACAAAAGAGCUCUUCCCCACGUUCGGAUAACCACAAACCAAGACAGUACGAGUGUUGGGGUCUAUAGAAGGGAGCCGAGACAUGUGCUUUCGCACUUGCUCCAAAUAAGCCAAGCUAGGGCCGAUACGCUUAAUAACAGUGCACAUUCGCCCUAGGGCGGCAACCUUCAAGCAUUUGCACCUAUAAAGUGAAUCCCCGUACUUGAGUAGCCUGACAUAGUCUUUGGCAAUCUUCCCAAUGAGGUUCCUCGCUGUGUUGACCUGACCAAGGGCAAGCUUGUAGUGGUCCUUGUUGUAAAGGACGUGAAGGAGGUCACCAUAAAAAGGGUGGAUACCGUCCAAUCGAGGGAACUCGUCUAUUAUGGUGGAAAGCUUCUCAUGGAAGUUCUGCUGUGUGAAGCGGACCUUUCGCAUGUAGAAUUGGCGGAGGCGGGAGAUGGCAUAUCCUUUGUGGACGACUGUUGGGGUCUGGCGCUGGGUGCGGGAGAGGAUUAUGUUGAUGAAGUCCUCCUUGGGCGGGACUAUUGUGAUUUUCUUUAAGUUGUAUUGGACCAUCUUGCUGAUUUAUGUUACCUGCAAGAACAAAAAUAAUAGUCACAGCAUAGCAAAACCAAAAAUAAACAGAAAAACAUAACAAGAUGGCGGAUAAUGAAUCAUCUCGAAAACACGCCCGUAAGAUGACCUAAUAAACCAGCUAUGAAAACUAACUCAAGGUCGCCAGAUAAAAACCAUGAACUACUCUCCCCACCUCAGAACACACCAACAGCCACAAAUAAUCAUUCAAUAUAACUUACUGCAAGUUGAGAAUUCAGCAAGAGAUCAGUGAAUUGAAUAAAAUAAACAAGUGGCCCGGUUGAUGAAGAAUACAUAUGUAACAGUAGACUUAUACCUAAAAGAAAAUAUCCAGAGUAAUCAUUUUAUAACCUUUCAUUGUCAGAGUAGCAAAAACUAAAGAGAGAUUGAAUAAUUAAAUGGCAAUAAAAUACUUUAAAAAUUAUCAAAUCACAUAAAUAAUUACCAACAUCAUGCACUAGCAAAAUAAUUUAGAAAAAACAAUAGGUCGGCCCAAACUACAUAUAUUAUUCAUAAAUCUAGAAAAUGAAGAACGGUGUAUCAAAAAAAUGAAGAACACUGGAACUUCUCAUAUCCCAGACAAUCGGGAGACCCAUCAACUGAUAGAACCACACAAGCAACAAAUUAUGUACGGAAAGGCUAAGCAAUCAAAUCAAAACAACAGUGCUAAUCACUCGAAUAAUUUCGCAAUCUGCAGUACUUAAAUCUUUUCAUUUGUGGGCCAAAGUUUCAAAGUAACUUCGAUAUUCAGAACUCUCAAGUCCGAAUACAAUAAAUUAACAAAAGACGACAGAGAAAAACUAGAGGAAGAAUAACACAACAGCUUGGUGUUCAACCUAUAAAAGUUCAAUAAUAUUCUUUUUCAAAAAUUAAUCCAACAAGACACACAGAUUUUGAAUGUUGAAUAGAGAGAAAAGAAGGUGAAGAUCCAGAAAAUAAAAAAGAAAACAGAAUAGUUAUAUUUUUCGUCUCAGCAAAUCAAUCUUCAUACUAGAAACAUGAGAUGGAAAGCAGAAAACAUCUACAAAAAACCAGAGGGUUUGCAUGGAAAAAUCAUUCUCUAGGUUAUCUAAAAACAAUGAGUUUCUUCAAGCAAAUCUUUGAAAAAACUACUAUCAUAAUAUCUCAGAUUUUGAUCAAACCAUACUAUACUAGUAUUAUUAUUUAAUCAUUGGAUCAUUUAUUUUUCUUGAAAUCGGUUUAAUUCAGAGACUCCUCAAUCAUCAAUCAAUCAAAAAUCUAAUGUAUAAUAGGUAAUGUAAAGCUAUAGAAUUUAGAGGACAAAUGAGACACUUAAAGCUUUUAAAACCAUGCAUCCUAAAAAUUUACUAAAUACAUCAAACUAAAUCACAAUAUUGUGGAUAUUCUAAUUAAGAAGAAUGCAUUGAGAAUAAUCAUAUCAGAAUACUAAAACAAAGAAACGUCAUCUUUAUAUAGUUAUGUGCAGCGAUCAAUCUGCAAAGAGUUAGAUAGAGAUAACCACCUAAGGUCUUAAGAUUCAUCUAAUUUUACCUAAUAUUUUCCACAAUAACUAUCAUUCCAAAAUUUCGAAUGCCAUUCGUUCAGCUUGGAAAUCUAAUUUGUUGGGUAAUGAAUUACUGAUCUGACUAUAUGGAUAUAUAAUCUAGCAUAAUAAACCAAAUAUGUAAUAUGUCGUAAAUAAAGCUGAGUCACUAAUAUUGUUGACCAAGUACCUCUCCAUGUCAUGCUUGGCAGUCUCUGUUGAUUGAGCCUUCGCUCUACAAUGCCGACAAGUGCACAUAUAUACUUAGAAUCUAAUCUCAACUACUCAAUUCAAGUACAUUUAAUUUCGGGGUUAACCAUCUCAUCUACCUAAUCGAAAGAGAAAUUGAACUACUUGAUCUCAGUUGAAAUAGAAUUCUUGAAAAUCAUGCUUACAAAGUCUUCCUUUCAGAAUUGACUCAAAUAUAGUAAGUUAAAAUUAACGAUUCAUCUGUUGAAACAAAACUAAGCUAAUAUAAUCUACUUUAACAAAUUACACAUUAGAUGGAAUUCUAAUCUUUAAAUCUCGAUUGUUUAAUCCAAGCAUGAAAUGGAACAACAUAUUAAUUAAAUCUUUACUUUUUAGUUUCAGUUCAAAUUAAAUUCAAUUAUAUGUCAGCUAUUUAAUUCAAACGUGCACAUAGAGUUCUAAGCAAGAUCACAGUUUUCCCAUCAUGUAUCAAUGUAUCAUUUCUUCCCAUCUAUCAAAUUUUUCCACAAUAUUUAUUACCUUAUUCUUUCAUUUGUCACAAUACUUAUUACCUUAUUCUUUCAUUUGUCUUUAUGCUUACAUAAGAUGAUAUUUCCCCCCCCUCUCCCAUGCAUUGCAUAGGAUUAAAGCUAUAUCUAUUCUGAUCCUCACAAAAUCACUGAACUAUGAAGCAAGCCAAAUAUAAAUUACACUCAAUUAAAAAGUCCAAAUGGAUAAAAAUUUGCACAAAGACAAGUAAAAGAUAGCAUCAAGAAUAAACGGAAAGAAUAAUCGGAAAUAACUCGAGUAUAUCAUGACAAUUAUUUUCUAACAAAACCCCAAUCCUAGGUCAAGGAUGCGAUAAUUUAAUAGACCCAAAGGGCAUGCAAGACCAAAAUCUAAUUCACAUAUUCAAACAAAAUAAUCACUGCGAAAAGUAGUCAUUUAAAAUCUCAAAAUGCAUACAUAAUUGUAAUGGUAUCUUUAAAGAUUUAGAGGACAAAAAUUUCUUAAAUACAACAUAUAAAUUAGUGCAAUGACCAUUCCCGCUGGCACUAAUAACUCGUUGGACCUAAACACCAGCUCAAAAUGCUUAGGCUUAAUUAUUAUUAGUAGAGUGUAUGGUCCUUGGAUUCCCAAUCAUUACCCCUUUUUCUAUCCGAUGUGGGACUAUUGGGGCGUUAGAAACUUUUCCCAUUUACGUCCUUGUUAGGUCUCAUUCCCUAAAUCCGAGAUCACUAGGCGACAUAAGACCCAUCUCGCACUUCUGGCUGGCAAAUCAGCUCUGAUACCCGAUCCUUACAUUCCCAAUCAUAAUUCCUUUCCUAUACGACAUGAGACUAUUGGGGCAUUACAAUUAGAGCUCUACAAUAUAGUUUACUAGCUAGAAAAGAACUUGUACCAACUUUUGAAUCUCGAAAAAUACUAAGUGGAAUCAAGACAGAUAUGAGCUUGCUGUUACAUUAGCAGAAGUGACAUCCAUAAACCGAUUACUUCCCAACAUACGUCAGAUUCACCAUCACGUGGCAACCGUUCUUAUCAAAAGAAAUUGUUAAUAGCAUAUAGCUCUAAUUAAUUAAAAACAAAAUAGUACAAAAUUUGAAUGUUUUUCAUAAAUCAAUUUUCAUAGAUGUACAAUAUGGUUUCUUGCCAGCAUAUUAAAAUUCGUAGCUGAGCGAUAAAAGAAGAACAAACUAUGUAGCCAUUACAAUCUCUUAAAAAAGAAUCACAUAGAUGGUAAAAAUUUAGUAUCCGACACCAAACUAGUUCAUAGAUAAGGAAGUAUCAACAAACUAUGAAUUUUCAUAAAAUAAUGGCUAAAUUGCACUUUUGGUCCUCAAACUUUGUCACGCGCCACUUUGGUCCUCAAACUUUUAUUUCUUGCAAUUUUUGGCUCAAACUUUUUAACUAGUUGCAAUUAAGCCCUACAAUCCCUACAGCUUUGCUGAUAUGAUAAUCAUAGUACUGUGGCAUCUUAAUAAUUAAUACGUUAUCGAGUACUAUUACAUCACUACAGCAAUAUUGACACCAUUAUUGUAUUAGGAAAAUUGGACUUUAGGACUUAAUUGCAACAUUUUAGAAAGUUUGAGCUAGAAACCGCAAUAAAUUAAAGUUUGAGGACCCAAGUAUCAUGCGCCUAAAGUUUGAUGACCAAAUGCGCAAUUUACCCUAAAAUAAUUUGAUCAUAAAAUAUUCACUGCAAACAGAAGGUAGACUCUAUCAGCUUUAUUGCCCAUUGAAAGACUCCAAAACCAGAUAACUGGACUAUAGUCUGAAGCCAGAACAAUGUUAGCCGGUAAAUGUAACCAUUUGAUUUUGCCGAUUGCCACGUGUUUACUCGAGCACUACUUUGUUCCAUGAAAAACAUCUCGACAUCAGGAUCUUGGGUCGAUGCGUGUGUCAUUAACUCUUCCUCUAGGGUUUUUAAUUUUAGGCCAACACAUGAUUAAUAAGGGAAUAAAAAAUAUAUAAAUUUUUCCCUAACAUUUCCAAAUCAGAUCCAGAAAAAGGGAGAUUAAAAAAAAAAAAGGAGAUCCAAAACUAGAUAAAUAAGAAUCAAAAAUACCAAAGUGCUUGUUACGCAUGUCCUGUAGAAAGAUUGCAACUAAAUGAAACAAGACAUGGCUUAAGAUCUGACGAAGUUUGCAACAGAUCUGUAAUCAAUAUGUGAAAAAGAGGGGCAUAAACACUCCUUAAAUCGACGAAAAAAGGACAUGCGUAACAAGCACUUUGGUAUUUUUGAUUCUUAUUUAUCUAGUUUUGGAUCUCCUUUUUUUUUUUUAAUCUCCCUUUUUCUGGAUCUGAUUUGGAAAUGUUAGGGAAAAAUUUAUAUAUUUUUUAUUCCCUUAUUAAUCAUGUGUUGGCCUAAAAUUAAAAACCCUAGAGGAAGAGUUAAUGACACACGCAUCGACCCAAGAUCCNUUUUUUUUUUUUUUUUUUUCAUGGAGAGCCUCUAUUUCAGUUUUACGUCUAUUUGAUUAUUAUUAUUAUUUUUUUAAAGCUAGCUUUUAUGACAAUCUGUUUUCCAAAUUUUAUAGCAAAUUAAUGCUUGAAUUUUUCGAUUUGGCGUGAUUUAAUUUAUUUUAAUUUAACUUUUAUAUUUUUUAUUAAAAUUUAAUAAAAAUGAUAAUAAAUUAAAAACACAUAUUUAUAUUAAAGAAAAAAAUUUAAGCUCCUUAUGUUCAUGUUAGUAUAUAGGGGGUCAAAUGGUUAUAAUCUCAAACCUAUCUCUAUUUCUUCUUCUCAUCACCCACUCUCUCUCUCGCUCUCUAUCUCUCUCUAUAACUUGUUCUCGGUGCAUACCCAUCUCCAUCUCUCAGGUUAUGUUUGUUUCACCAUAAGUAGGGAGGGGGGAAGUGAUUUUCGGUAAAAACUAAUCACUUUCGCUGUUUGGAAACUUAAUUACAGUAAUUUUUUGGGUUACUCUCUCUCUCCCUCUCUCCUUUCCCCUCCCCUCUCAACUCAACAUUCAUCUCUCUUUUUCUCUGCAAACACCAAAAAAAAAAAAAAUCUAUCUUUUUUUCCCCUUCACCCCGGAUCAUUGCCAAGUCAACUCCUCCAUCUCCUUCGUCCCUAGAUCAUUUCGAGCCCACUCCUCCAUCUGUGGUGACUAUCAGGUUCAUAUUGUUCAUCUUCUUUUUUUUUCACAUUUUGCUUCUUCAACCCUUUCCCCUCUCUCUCACCACUCAUCUUCUUCCAUCUCAGAUCUCGUAUUCCAUCCCCUUCCAUUUCGCCAGUGACAAGAUUUGCAAAUAGAUAUUUUAUUUUGUUUAUUUUUUUAAUUUACUGCAGUUUUUAAUUUUUUUUAUUUACCGUAAUUUUUAUAUUUUUGCUCUGAUUUUUAAAAGAUUUAAGAUUUAGUAUUAUAACUAAUCAUUUUUCUUUUUCUUUUUUUUGGUUUAUAGUAUACACAUGUGUGAUCAUAAUCUUACACUAUUUAAAUUGAGAGAACAUUCCAUACACGUGGCAAUCGGGGAGGUGUUUUGAUACACGUGGCAAUCAGGGGCGUUCCCCCCUCUCUCCCAAAACCCCUUCCCUAAACCGACCGCACCCUCUCUACCCAAACCCCUUCCCUAAACCGACCGCACCUCUCCAAACCUAUUCCCUGAACCGACCGCACUUCUCUCUCUCUUUUGCCGUCUCUCUGCCUCCUUCUCUCUCUCCUCCUCCCUACAUCUCUCUCUACCCUCCUGAACCGAACGCCAGCCCUCUCCCCCGAAACCCUUCGCUCCCUCUCACUCUCUCCUAAACCGAACACCCAUCUCUCUCCUUCUCUCUCUCUCGCGCCGUCUCUCUACAUCCCUCUCUCUCUUCGCCCCGCUCUCUAUCUCUACCAUCUAUGCUCCUCUGUCACACUCAACCGAUCGACCCUCUCUCUCUCUUCGGUCCUGGGCUCUGCUGCUCUCUCUCUACCAUCUCUGGUCCUCUCUUACGCUCAACCGAUCGCCCCUCUCUUUCUCUCUCUUCGAUCCUGGAGAGAACAGUGUGGAUCCUCUCUCAUCAGAACCCCUACGGCUAUGCCUAUUGUGGCGUCUACAGGUGACCCCUACCCCUCUACCUCUGGCCUCUACAGGUAAUCUUCUCUCUCGCCUUUCUAUUUACUACUGUCUGCUUGCCUUAGCCGGCUCUAUGCCGUCCAUUCAGCCUUCUACGGCUGCGAUGGUGUGUUGCACUCUCCAUGGCCCCUAACCCUAGAUCUAUUUGCCUCCUACUCCUCAGAGGGGCACGAAAGAAACGACCCCUAGGCUGCUGUUUGACCCCUAUAACCAUUGUGAGAUCUUACAAAAAAAUGAAAAAAUCUCCUGAGAUUUUACUUGAUAUCUAUUUAAUCCCUAUUGCCAGAAGCUCUAUUCAAAAAAAAAAUUUCUAAAGAUAUUCUGAGAUCUUAAAAAUAAAUAGGGAGAUAUCCUGAGAUCAAUUCUAUCAUCAUCAUGUCUGCUUUUAUACUUAAAAAAUUGAUAACUCCAGCUUCCUGGACAAAAGGCUUAUACUUCAAAAAAAUUUCCCUGACGCCUGCUGGACAAUAAGGUGUUUAAGAUUUUGUGUCUUUCUGAGCCUAUAAAUAGCAUGUACUGUUUACCCAAAAAAAUAGUACGAGCCUCUCUCUCUGCAGUGUAAGGUGAGCUAUUUUGAUUGGCUGCAGACCCCUCUAUCUGUUCCUAUAUACUGGCUUCUUAUAUUUGGACCACCUCUACACUAGCUGGUGUUUGCUCAUGAAAAACUAUUGGAUUGGGAAGGUUGCUUGGGUAUUCCAUGCAAAGGCAACCAUUUGCCACAGAUUGGAUGGGCUUUCUAUGUGAACCCAUCUACUACUAUCUAUUGCCUGGCACUGCUAUAUUGGGGGUUUUCUAAUGUUUUUGUUCCUGCUGUCUCUGUUUUCUAAUGUCCAUAUUCUUGAUUUCUUUGCUUCUUCAUCUAAUUUCUUUAUUUUUUUGGAGGCAAUGAUGACAACUGUAUCAAAAAAGUAAAAAACUCUUAACUUUCUUUGGGCUGUGAAACUGCCUGCUAUUUCGGGAGAGAAAUUUUUUUCUUGCUGCUUCUAUUUCCUGUAUGCAAUCUUUUCCGCCCCCGGAAAGCAUGGCUUCUGUGUUCUGUAGGAGGGCAACCAUCUAACAGAGAUUGGACGACCUAUUAAAGGGAAGCCAUCUAAUACUGUUUGUUGACUGAUGCUGCUAUAUUGGGUUCUUCUUUUGCGUUUUCUGACCCUGUCUUCUCUCCCAGCAUGAAGUUCGGCCGAGAUUUGCCUAUGCAAGUGACGACGGAAAUGCUUUUACUUGGUUCCAUUUCUCACACUUUACCUGAGCCUACCUGUUUUAUUUGUUUGGUUACAUGUUCCAAUUACUUCCUUCAUGUUUGUAAUCAUUUAUUAUCUGUUUUAUUUCCUUACUCUUCUUUCCAGACUGUGUUUCUUACUUCCUUGUUUUCUUUUCUUUACUUUACUAUUUUGCUUUCUCUGCUCUUCUUCUUUAUUACUUGGUUUUUUUUUUUCGGUUCCUGUUUUCCUUGGUUUUUUUUUUUUUACUUCACUUUUCGAGGCGAUGAUGACUAUCUCUUACGUUCCAUUUACAUCUUGUGGCUAUCUUAUUCCUGGCGACUUCUACCUCCCUUUAUAAAUCGAGGGUUGUUUUGGAUUCAAUUUCUUCCUCCCUAUGCCUUUUUUUAAAAGAACGGAGGGUUGUAGUGGAUUGGCGCAUUAGAAAGCAACUGUCUACACUAGACAGUACGGCUUUUCCAUGCGCAACCAUCUAUCACUUCUCCCCUUCUUACCUUACUUGCUCUUUUUUUUUCCCCUUCCCCUGCGCUCUCCGGCAGCAACUUUUCUUCAAUGUACAAGGUGUAAUUGGCAUUCCUGCCUUGCGGUGCGGCCACGCUUGAUGUUAGUGAACUGUUCAUUCUAGGUUGGAUGGCCUAAUUAAAGGCAACCACAUUCUAAUGCAUUUUCUAUUAUUGCUUACUACCGUGGGUUUGGUUGGAUGCUACCACCUACUGUAAAGCUUAUGGCGAAAAAAAAAAGAGAUGAUACAUGCUUUCAUGUUAGACCUGAGCCUCACCGUUUUUCCUUCUUCUAUUUUUCUUUCUGGAUUAUUUGUGUACUGGACUUGCAUAUUUUUCAACCUAUUUUUUAACUUUACAUAUUUGUCUUCACUUGCUGUAAUAUUCUUUACUCUAUUUGAUCCUGGUGUUUUCUUCUUUUCUUGAUCAUUUCCAUUGUUUGUUGUGUAUUUCUUCCUUUUUUUUACCUUUUUCUUUCACCUCCCACCUUGCUUCUUGGCAGUACCUUACUUACAUCUGCGCCAUUCUAUGGUUUAUACUUCCUUUAUUACAGUUCUUUAUAAAAAAAAAAGCAUUAUUGACCUACUUUCCUUGCAAUCUGAACCAUGGCGACUUUCCACUUUUCUUACGUUAGGAUGCUUGGCGAAGUUUACGAGCAACUCGGCCUCGGCAUGCCCCAAAUUGUAGUGGUCCCCGAUACCGAAGGCAGGUUCGUUGGAUACAUAGAUCUGCAAAUUCCACGCAACGAAACUGUCAUCCAAACUGUCCGUUGUUUGAGUUCCCAGCUCCCAACUGCUACUGCCGCUGAACAGGAUGCUGCGCGUCUAGCUAUGAAGAGGCUUAAGGAAGAAUGCGACUUUCAAUUCAAGGAUAUUAAUUAUGAUGACUCUCUCUUAUACAAGAACUUAUACGACCACCAAACAACCAACUGUGCUGUUAUAUCUGCACAGUAUAGUAAUCUUUCUAGAGAGCAUAGUUUCCUUAAGGAGUGUUAUGUUACUACAGUCGCUCAAAAGAAUGAAUAUGUAAAUGAGCAAAUUAAGCUCCGGAAUGCCAUAGGGGAAUGCUACGCUACUAUGAACCGUAUUACUGUUGAACUGCCUACUGACGCCGCGGACCCCUCUCAGGCUAUGUCCAAUCAGCAUGCUUAGUUGCUCAGGCUACUUAGUUGGUCCAUGCUUUUGUUUCCAGCAAAGUUCUUUCACGCAUGGCAUUUUGGCUUGGUAUUAAAUAAUAUAUGUACUUUGCUGUGUAAUUACCGUUCAACAGUUUAUGCAAGUUUUAUUUCACUUCAAGUUCUCAUUGCGGUUUGUCGUUCAACAGUUUAUGAAACUUUUAUUACGCUUCAAGUUCUCAUUGCGGUUUCUUCACAUGAUCCUUCUGUUUUUACUUAAACUUAUGGCUAAAAAAAAAAUGAUGUAUCUGUAGUUCCUGAGCUCAUUACUUUUCUUUUAAUAUUUCUUCUUUGAUUAUUUACCUACUGUUCUUUCGUUCUUACUUCUUAUUGUUUUUUUUCUUUUUCCUUUCCUAUUAUUUGCUUCUCUCUAUUUAAUCGUGUUUUCCUUUUUCCUUUAGUCCUAGCACAUGAGCUUUUGCCUUCUCUUCCCCCCCCACCCCCUCCCUACUUUCUUUUAAUAUUCUCUAGACAUGAGCUUUUCUUUAGUCCUAGCACAUGAGCUUUGCCUUCUUCUUCCCCCCCCCCCCACCCCCUCCCUACUUUUCUUCUUCUUCCUGUAGUUCCUGAGCCUCACUACUUUUCUUUUAAUAUUCUCUUCUUGAUUAUUUACAUACUGUUCUUUCGUUCUUUACUUCUUAUUAUUUUUUUUUUUUUCUUUCCUAUAUUUGCUUCUCUCUAUUUAAUCUGUGUUUUUCCUUUCCUUUAGUCCUAGCACAUUGAGCUUUGCCUUCUUCUCCCCCCCCCCCCCCACCCCUCCCCGCCCUUUUUUUUUCCCCUGUUUUGAAGAGUGUACCGAUUGUCCUCUUUCCGUAUUACUGGUUUUCUCAACGUGUGGGCAAUAAUGCAACUCUUGAUGAUGGAGAAUUUACUGCUUCUCUUUGUUCUUUGCUUCUUUUUUAUGUGUGAUUACUUCAUCAUUUGUGUCCCUUCUUUAUUACUAUUUGUGCAAAUAAUUUACCAUGAAAAUACAUGGGCUCCUAAAGUGUGAGAAAUGGGGCCAACUUCAGCACUUUCUUCUACACCUGGCGAGGGAAGUCCAACUCCAACUGCAUGCUUAGAGGAAACAUGGCACUUUACUUCUUUUUUUUUUCUCUCUCUUUGUUUUUUACCCUUUUUCUUUUAAAACAUUUUUGUCCCCUACACUGAGUUCUCUUAAAGUGUACAAAGUUCCAUAAACUGCAUCUCUAGCAUCUCUAGCAGAUGGAUCAUGUGAAGAACUUUGUAGUAAACAUUUGUAGUAAACAUUAUCCUCUAUAAUGAGGCCCAAAAAUGUUUACUACAAAAUGCAUCCAAGAAUAAGAACUUUGUAGUAAACAUUUUUGGGCCUCACUAUAGCAUCCAAGAAUAAGAACUUUGUAGUAAACAUUUUUGGGCCUCACUUUGUAGUCAUCGAAUUAUUGAAGAAGAGAUCUUUACUAGUAAUCAUAUUGGCGAAAAAGUUUACAUCCCUCGCAUUGUAAUGAACGUAACAGAUUCAAAAUGGCUAUUUGUAUUAAAGCGAAGAAAGUUUCCAAUUCGAUUGAGUUAUGCAAUGACUAUCAAUAAAAGCCAAGGCCAAACAUUGCGAAGAGUUGGCCUUUUUUUAUCCCAACCUGUAUUUUCUCACGGACAGCUUUAUGUGGCGGUUUCACGAGUUACUUCUAGAGAAGGGUUGAGCAUUUUCAUAGAUAAUAAGGAUGGCGAGCCUCAAGAUUAUACAAGAAAUGUUGUUUACUGUGAAAUAUUUGCAGAUCUAUAAUGGUUGGUUGUUUAUUAUGCGUUCUUUCUGUUUCGAAAUAUUCAGUCCUUCCUUUCUUUUUUUUUCCUUACCAUGUUUAUAUAUAUAUAUAUAUAUAUAUAUAUAUAUAUAUAUAUAUAUAUAUAUAUAUAUAUAUAUAUAUAUAUAUAUAUAUAUACAACAGACCUACAAAAUAGCAAUGGAGUACGUACUAUUAUCUGAAUUAUCGUUGCAACAUCAAGAUUGCAAGAUUAAAGUUCGAAUGUGUCGACUUUGGGAAUCAUCUGCUCCUUUUCUUAAAGGAGAUAUAUUUGGUUUAGAUUGUUUGCUGGUGGACGAAAAGGUACUGACACAUUUACUUUACAUUUUUACGUUUCUUUUGACUAUUUUCAGAUGUAUAUAUUUAUUAUUAUGCUGUGAUAAUUAGGGUAUUCUCUGAAAGGAACAAUACGUAAAAAAGAUACGGAGGAAUUUAGAUGUCGGCUUACCGAGGGCAAAAUAUAUCUUAUAGAAAAGUUCAAUGUUAUUCCAAGCAAGAAAAAGUUUGUUGCCAUCGAGCGUCCUUAUAUGAUUCAGAUAAAUAAGUGGACAUCUGUAACACUGGUUGAGGAAGAAAUGGACACAAUGCCUUUAUAUAGUUUUAAUUUCUCAACCUUUCCACAAGUCGAAAAUCAAAGAUACAACGACACUGUUCUCACCGGUAAUAUUUAGUUACAGCACAACAUAUUUAGUUAAAAGCAUAGAUUAAAUUUAUAUUGUCAUUUUCUACAAACUUCAUAUUAUAAUUUCCUUGCUUUCUCUCUCCAGAUGUUUUAGGACGACUUAUAGCCAUUGGUGAAAUUUCCCCCCGUUAUAUUGGUCAAAUUUUAACUCCGAUUAGAAAUUUAGAAAUACAAGAUUUGCAGUGAGUUUUUUUGGUCUCUUGAAUCCUGAGCUUAACUACUCCGUUUUGAUUUGUUUGCAUUAAUUGUAUCUACACUCAAUAAAUAUUUUUAUUUUGGGAUGAAUAGCUUAUGUGUUACAUUAUGGGAUAAAUUUGCUUCGGAUUUUGAUGAUAGCUCUAUUUCAAAAAAAGAUCAGAACGUUCAUGUUAUAAUAAUUCUGGCUGGAAUGACAGUUCGUUCUUUUAAAGGUUCGCUCUUUACUUUAAUAUAUUAUAAAAAAAAGGACUAAUAUAUAAGUUUAUUAACUUUCGAUAUUUAUUAUGGAAAUUUAGAGAAAAUACAUUUGUCAACGUGUUCAGCAUCGAAGAUUUACAUAGGCCUCCAAAUUCCAGAGGUUAUAGAGUUUUUGGAUAGGUCUGUAUGCCAAAUCUUAUGCUUUAAUUUAGUUAGUUCGAUUGGUACCUCUUACGGAUCUAAACAAAUGUUUCGCAAAUUACAGCCCAUGCCUAUCUCGAUUCAACAACUUACUGUCUGCCAACAGCAAAUUGUUGGUCCACAGGAAGAAAUUUCUGUGAAUAGGAAAACUAUCUCUCAGUUGUUCGCUCUCGACAUAUCUAACACUCAGGUGAAUUUUAUUUUACAAGUUCAUCCUAUAAAGCUAUUUAUUUUUAUUCUACAAGUUCAUCCUAUAAAGCUAUUUAUUUUGUCCCCAUUAUGUAAAAAUAAUUCCUCUUUACUUUUUAUCAAACAGAAUACGAAGUACACCUGCAAAGCUAAAAUUUUUGAAAUCGACACAUCUUUUGGUUGGUGGUACAAAGCAUGUUAUAACUGCAAAUCAACUGUCAGGACAUUUGGUGAUACUUUUUUGUGCUCCAAUUGUGAUAAGAAUGAUCAAUCUCCUAUACCAUGGUAAUUAUUUUGUUUCUUACAUAAUGUUUCAUAAAUUUUUCAAUAAAAGAACUUACUAUGCAUUCUUUCUUCUUUCCAUUAUAUUGUUAAAAGGUACAAAUUAAAUACCAUUGUUGAAGAUAAUACCGGUUCUACAAAUUUUACCAUCUUCGGCAGAUUGGCCCAAGAUUUGAUUCAUAUUCCGGCUCAAAACCUUGCUACUUCAGCUGGUUUAGAUAAAUUUACUCUUCUUCCUGCAAUUAAAAUAAUUAUUGGAAAUGAACAUAUUUUUCAAAUAGUACCUAACAUACACAGGUUUAGAACAAGUGUUCCUUCUUUUAAGGUCGCCAAAAUUUUUAAUAUUCAAUACGAUAUAAAGGAGAAUACUUCUUCGUCUAAAACUUUAAUGAUCAAAUGUGAAGAAAAACUUGAUUCGCCUACUACUCACAAAGAAGUUCACAAAGAAUUAUUUGAGGAAGCAGCCGCAAGUACAACCAAUUCGUUCAGGUGAUAAUUACAUAUUUACUUCCAUGUUUGCUUUAUGUUAUUAUAUGUGUUUGUCUUUGUGUUUGUGUGUUUUUCAAAGCAACUGAGAUAUAUUGUUUUACCUACAGCUCUCCGCCAUCUGCCGAUGAUAUAAAGGAGAUCCAGCCUUGUGACACCUCAAUAGUCCCACAUCGGGUGGGAAAGGGGUUAUCAUAGUCCCACAUCGGGUGGGAAAGGGGUUGUCAUUGGGUUUAUAAGAGACUUAGACACUAGCAAUAAUAACUGGGCUUAAGCAUUUUGGGCUGUAGUUGGGCCCAACGAGUUAUUAUUGCUAGUGGGCUGGAUCGUUACAUUUGGUAUCAGAGCUGGUUCACCAGCUGGACAUGUGUGGCGAGUCUCGGCUGAGCCAGGGUCUGGAUGACGGGCUAGCGAGACGAGUCUCACAUCGCCUGGUGAUCUUGGGCUGUGUGAUUCCUUAACGGGGGGAGUCUGUGACACCCCAAUAGUCCCACAUCGGGUGGCAAAGGGGUUGUCAUAGUCCCACAUCGGGUGGGAAAGGGGUUGUCAUUGGGUUUAUAAGAGACUUAGACACUAGUAAUAAUAACUGGGCUUAAGCAUUUUGGACUGUGGUUGGGCCCAACGAGUUAUUAUUGCUAGUGGGCUGGGUCGUUACAAGCCUGCCAAAAAAAAAGGCUUUGGUGAGUUAGAAUUUACUUCAUUUCUUACACCUAAGAUUAUGUUAAACUUAUGUUUUUUAUUGUGUUUUCUAUUUUUAUUUGCAGUUUUGGAGAAGGUCCUUCCACAAAUGAAGACCAGCUAUGAAGAUUUAAAAUUUAUGUUUUAGUGUACUGCUAAUUUAUUAUAUUUCCAUCAGAGUUACGCUUAAUGUUGUGUUUUGAUUACACUACUGUAUGUUUAUGAAACUAUUUAAUACUGAGUUACGCUUACUACUGUAUUUUGACUACACUACUGUAUGUUUAUCAAACUAUUUAUCCGCAGUGAAGUGCGGGGUUUUUACUAGUACUACUUGUUUGUUGCAAUUCUUUUAGUUUUCACCCAUCUCUUGUCAAUUUUAUCACUAAUCUAAUUAGGAUAUUUUCUAUACAUAAGUAAUUUUCUCUUGGUAGUUUUAAUUAAAGUUUUUUUUUUUAAAAAUAGAAUAAGAAAAAAGCAUUAAUAAUCUAUACAAUAUCAUUAAAGAGUGAACCCCUAACUGGUUUGGAGCCUUCACUAUGAUUUCGAAAGUAGAUCCCACAGGCAGAGUUUUUCUCUCUGAGAUCUGCCGCCUUGCUGUCUUCCAGCUUCUCCUCCUAUGCUACUCUCUCUUUCUUUCUCUCUCACCGAACCCUAACUCUGCCUAGGGUUAGUACUCUUUUCUUAAUUUCAGGAGUACUCUUUCGCCUAUUUGUGAUGACUCCUCAAUUUCUCUAAAGCGUGGGUCCCCCAUGCAGCGUUCGGCUUCUCCCUACUUGUCACGCCCCGAGCCCCACCUAUUUGGUCGGGUUCGGGCACGCCAAUAGACCGCCGAACGGACAGAAUUUUUCCUGUACGUCCUAGGCGUCGCAAUCAAUACAUUACAAGGAGUUCCAACCAGGAACAGUAUUCAAUACACAGAUUGCAUAAGGAAGUAUCAAAAACAUAAACAGCUACUGCUAUUACAAGCAUUCACAUACAUGCUUUUUACAACACAAUUACAAGUUGUUUUCUUCCAAACACAAUCUAAGUUAUUACAAAUUUAUUGCAAGUUGAUACACUUGUGUUCUUUUCAUUUCCCCUAGGCUAUGCCGACUCGGGGUACUGCUAUCUCUGGUCUCUAGGGUAGGGCACUAUUUACAGAGCUACGCCUUUGCCUCGCGCCGCUCAUGUGCGAACCUGUAACACCCCGAAACAACAUGGGGUGAGAACUAACUCCAUAGUUCCCAGUAGGUACGGCCACCCAAGGAAAAAGCUCGACCAGCAGGUCUAAAGGAGGCAAAUAACAUGUUAGUCCAACGGAUAGAUAUGAAAUCAUAAGUAUGCAACUAACAUUUACAUGCUUUUGCCUCACAAAUGCAAUAAUGCUAUGCUAUAUGCAAUUUAUGCAACAAUGCAACAACAUAAGUAGAUCUAUCGAUUCUACUUCUAUCUCACUAUCUAGCACAUAUUCAACUAGCUUCUAAGGUUUCUACUACCUUAGAUCUAUGUUAUUUACCACUAGCCCUUAAGGUUUCAUCUACCUUAUCCAAGCUUACCACCCGACUCGGCCUCGAGUCAAUCAACUGCGGAUAAUCCGCGCUCUGUCCAGCUCGAGGUGAAGAAACCCUCACAUACACCUCAGCCUUCAAUUCACAAACUACAUCGCCCAACGGGUCGCCCAGAGCUGCUGUAAGGACUGAGACUUUUGCAGUGUAGCUAAACUCUCAGUUGACGAUGUUUUUGUGUGUAAUUUAAUUACAAAAGCACUCGUCAAGUUUCAGGCGAAAAUGAGUUAAAACGAAGAUUCUACGUUAUUUCCAAGUUUCACUUAAAAUGAAUAGUAACUCGAUUUUCCGGAGAAGCCACGGUGUGAAGUUGGCUUCAGGCUCGUAUCGGACUCCGUUCCUAGCGGUCCAAUAGCUCGUUUCGACCGGUUCAGCUGUUCUGGAACCAAUGGCGCUGACGGAUUUUGAGUUUGACGCACGGAUUUCGAGAAAAUACAAAAAUACAUGUUUUAUAUGUAUUUAUGUGUGUGUUUCCUUCUAUUGGAAGAAGGUUGGAUUUUGUCGUGAAUCCGUGGUCGAUCGAGAUGAAACGAAAUCGCAGCUUUGUUGUCUUCGUCGUGCUGAUCGCACUGGUGCGAACCGUUCGCGAAUCUGACGGACGGAUCUGCGGAGAUGCCGUUGAUCGAGAAAGGUCGGUAGUGGCAAAACGGUAUUUUCGCAAAAGUCGCGAUAUUUUAUGUACCGUUUCGCGUAGGAUCGCACGUGGAGGGGGUUCAUGCGUUUUAGUCGUACUGUGAGGGACUCGGAUUGUAAUUUUGAUGUUUGGGGGACCUUUUUGCAUGUUGCACUUAUUUUAUAGCUCUUUAGGGUUUGGAGCCACUCAACCCUAACCUACUUGCCUAGCCCCCUAGCCGCCUCCUACCUCUUCCUGCCACUUGCUGCGCGUGCCCUGGCAGCCGCCGAUCGAGCCCCGGCAGGCCAACCACGCGGCAGCCACCACUCUCCAUCUUCUUCCUCUCUUUCUCUCUUCCUCUCUCCUCCGGUUGUGUGGAGGCCCGAGACUGCUGCCACUUCGGACUCCCUCCGUGUCGUCCCGUGCUCCGGCGACCUUCCCGCCGACCGCCGCCGUCGCCUGCGCCGCCGCUGCCGCCCCGCGGCCACAUCUGCCAGCCCAGACCGAGCCCUGGCCGUGACCCACUCGUGACCUCCUCCUGCACCGCCGCCUCCUGGAAACCUCCGGCCGAAACCUCCGUGCCGGGCGCCCCUUCCCGCCGUCGCCGCCGCCCGGUGCGCGCCUUCGCCCCCUCGGCCAGCCGCGGCCGCCCAGCCCGAGCCAGGCCGAUCUUGUUUGCGACCACUCCCCGCCGCUGCCGCUCGAGGCCGCCUCCUCCUCCUCUCUCCGGCCUCUGGGACCCGCAGUCGUCGUUCCCGACCUUCUCCCGCGGCCGUGCCGCAGCUUCCUUGGAGUCCGUGCCCUAGCUCUUGCGGGCCGAGCUUACUCCGCCGCUGCACUGCGCUUCUCGUCGCCAACCGAGGUGAGCACGAGUUCCUCACCUCCCCCUCACCCGACUAAGGGCCCGCGCGCGCGCCGUGCCGUCGAGGCCGGCCGGAGCAAGGUUGCUCUCCAGGCCCGAAAUAGGCUUAUUUGAGUGGUUUCUUGUUCUGGCUUCCGAGCUCCCCGAUCUCUACGAAGGGAGCACGAUGAUCCUGGCAAGUUGCUGAUCAUCGUGCUCACCUUAGUUUUCUGUCGGGAGACUCCGUUCUGCUGUUUUGGCGGUGUCGACCCCGUCGAGCCUGUUUGGCUGCUGUUUUGAGUUUGCGCACACUUAUCCGGCGAUCCGAGGCUAUUCCAUGCCUCCGGAGGUGAGACAGUGACCGCUGGUCAGUGCUGAUCACAAUGCUCACCUUCCCUUGGAUCAGAAGUGUCCGGUUAGUUCUGUCGGCGCGAUCUUCCCUGACUGGCGCGUAUUUCGCUGGCCUUCGGGUUGCUCCCGCGCUUCCCACAGCGAGCCGCUGUGCUCGGAUCGUGAGCACGGACUCCGUACGUCGAGACCUGUCAUACGUGUCUCUGCAGACUUCGAAAGUCCUUGGUUUGCGUGAACGAGCCGCUUGAUCGCUCAAAUUACAUAAAAUGAUGAAUUUUAUGUAAUUAGAGGGUCUUUUAUGCAUUUGUGCUUUUGCGUGGCUACUGUGGCAGUGUGUGGGAGUUUGUAAUGACCGCUGGACUGAUUGUCCAUGGUCCGUUAACUUUCACGAAAAUCGGUAGGUCGAUUUCGCGGUGCGUUUUUCGGCGAAAUUCGCCGAAAGAAGCGUUUCGGUUCGGAAUUCUUUCCGAUGGUGUUUGGUGCUUUAGUGUUUUGUUGCUGAGCCUUGUUGGCUGGUCACCAUCAUCAUUUUGUGGGUUCGAUGAUGAUGGGUGAGCGACGGUGGUUUCCGGUGUCGAAAUAGACACUUCCGGGAACCGAUUCGUACGUAUUCCGGCAUGAUCGUCACUAUGGUUGUGUUACUGUGUUCCAACUGCCAAGGCAUCCAAAUUAGAGUGCUUUGGGGCAGCGGGUGACUCGUGGCACGAGUCGGUGAGUUCGGGACACUUAGUGGGUCCCGACGGCGUCCCGGUGUGGUUUUCGGGACUUUCGGUGAGUUACGGUAAUCGGUAUUGGGAAACCGAUCUUCAUGAAUUGUUUGUGGGGUUGUGGAUACUGUGAUUAUUAGUUGUGGGUUAGAUACUAACCCAGUGGACCCUCUAUAGGUCCUGUCGACAUUCUUUUGCAGUCAGGAGAUAGACGCGACAUCCUUACAGGUGGGUACUUCGAUCUGACGUCGGUACAGUGGUGCACGCUUGGUGAUGGUUUCUUACCCUUACUCUUCUGUUGUUACUAUCGCAUAAUAUAUUGAGCCUUGCACCCUUGUUUAUUCGUUAUACUCUACUCGUUGUUUGCAUACUUAGUAUCCUGAGUAGGAGUAGAGUAGUUCUAUCUUCAUGCGUAUCUGUUGACCUAGUUGGUUGGUUGUUGCAUUCAGUACCUGUUGACCUAGUUGGUCUGUUGUUGCGUUUAGUAUCUGUUGACCUAGUUGGUCGGUUAUUGCAUUCCGUAUCUGUUGACCUGGUUGGUCGGUUCUCGUACUUCGUUUCGGUGACCUGAUUGGUCGGUUCUCGUACAUCGUUCGAUGACCCUUGAGGUCGGUAUACCCUAAGGGGUGGGAUUGUCGGUUAGCACCGACGGAUGAUUAUAGUUUACACAGUUCCACUAUUUGGCAUAUUUGUGACCUAGUCAGUCAGCUUCGUGAAUCCUGUCGUUUGAUGACCUAUGAGGUCGGUGUACCCUGAGGGGUUGGAUUGUCGGCUAGUGGCCGACGGUAAUUCGGGAUUCUAUUGAUAUACUCUGGUGACCUAUUCGUUAGUUCGUCGUGCAUAUGUGUUAGUUGACUUUAGUAGUCAGUGUUUGUAUACCUUGGUAGGAUGUUGAGUUGUUCCCUUUUAGUUGACCUGAGUAGUCGUUUCUUGUGCUUCUAUAUAGUUUGAUGACCUAUUGGUCGGUUUGCCCCGAGGGGCGGUGAUUGUCGGCUGGUUGCCCACAUUUGGCUAUUGAUCAUAUCCAUAUUGAUCACCACAGCUCGAGUGCAUUUCACGUACACCAGCGGGUUGAUCCCCCGCAGGAGGGUGUUCUUUUCCGGAAAAGUGGUCGUACAUCCGACCCGUGAGCCCAGCGGUGUUCUCUUUGUGCUAGGGUUACAUACCAGGUGCGAGCAGGUAGUGGCUUUUGCCUGAGGUCCUUAGACCGACACGGCGGUUUAGAUUGGGUACUUUUGGACUACUUGUCCGGUUGACGCAUAUAACUAUAGUAGCAGUGGUCACUUGUAUAUCUUCAGUUCUUUCGUUACAUUGUUUUGUUACUAUAGUCUUGUUACAUGUAUACAUUUAGUUGUUCAUUACAGUAGCGGUAGUUGUACUUUCUUUCAUAUAUAUGUCUCUUUCAUUCAUUAUUAUUGCUACUGUAUUUUCUACUGACCCGUACUAUUGUUUAGCUCUUCCUGAUCCGAUGAGUACUCCUCGCCUUCAUCGGCUUGCUGUACCCACUGGGAUGGGAGAUAUGUUUACAUGUUCUCACCUCCCCCACCAUUUUUCAGGUAUUGCAGGCGAUGAGUUUUGGGACGAGACGUGAGGUACGUUCGUAGCGGUCGAUAGAGCUUCCGACCCAGGUUAUCGAUUUAGUUUUUAUCCUUACUAUUCUGUUGUUAUAGCCUAGUUAGUUUAUAUGGUUCAGUUAGAUGAUCAUACUUGAUGUUUGAACGUUGUGAGCUGGUUGAAUUUGUGGAUUUGUGGAUUUGUGGAUUUGAUUUAUGGAUCUUCAGUUUUGGGAUGUUUGUAUACUUUGUGGUUCUCGGAUUUGUAUUUAUGGAUUUACGCAUCGUGGUUUUCUACCCCUCGAGGUAGUCGGUUUUCAAAAUAGAGUUUCCGUGUGGGAAACAGUUUUCAAAAGGUUUUCAAAUGGUUUUUCAUGAUGAAUGAAUUAGAGUUCAAAAAUAAAAGCUUCUGUGUGGGGAGCACUUUUAAAUAGAAUGGUUGUUGUAUUGUGCAUUGCAUCAUUCACCGCCUAAGGAGUGCUUAGAGGCAUGCAUCAUUCUAAGGAUUGUUAGCUGUAUGGAAAUACAUAUCAUGCUUUGGUUGUUGAUUGGUAAAUGUAGGUUGUGAUUGAGAUCCUGUUGUAUCCGUUGGUACGCCGUGCAAAUACAAAGGAGACUCUGCCCGAGUGGACAGAGGAACUUUGUAUUUGUGGCGGGUCUGUACGUCACGUGGGCCAGGUUGAAAAAAAAAAAAAAUGGCACGUUUUCCGCAACUCUGAGUUUUAAAAAUGGUAAUGGCUUUUAAAAUCGGCCCCGGGGCGUGACAGCUGCGUACACCCGUGGUCAGGGAUCUCCCGGUGGAGAGGAACAUGCCGCAUACACCUGCAACCGAGAUCCCCGAUAGGGAGAGAAACAUGCCACAUAUACCCUAGCGCUUAAGAUUCUUCCGGUAGGAGAGGAACAUGCCACAUGCACCCGCGACCAAGAAUCUUGCUCAAUCACAAUCCUCGAAGUUCUUCCGGUGGGAGAGGAACAUGCCACAUGCACCCGCGACCGAGAACUAUCGAGCUCAUAUACUGCACUAGCAGCCGCUGCACUCGCAGCCGGGAUUCCGGAAUCCACUUUCAUAACACUAGGGUUGGUCUCACCCUAUAUUAUCGACCUAUCUAGGUCCAACAUCAUUUCCAUUCUAGGUCCAACUGACUCUAGGUUUAAUGUCUAUAUCACAUAACCUAUGUUUACUUAACUCUAGAUUCAAUUCUCAACAUAUAUUUUUUAACACUAGGUUCAAUGCCACUCAUGAUUCACCCUAGGUUCACGACACUAGGUUUAAUGUCCAAUCUAUGUUUCAUAACACUAGGUUCAUAUGUUGUUCUCAUCCCUCCUAGGUUCACGACACUAGGUUUAAUGCUACUCGAUCUACUUGACAUCCUAAUUGUCCACAUCGAGUUUUAUAGUUACAUAUUCUCAUUUCCAAUGUCGAAUUCUCUAAAUAACCUAGAGUUAUCGACCAAGUUACAUGCAUAUAUAAUCUAACACAUGCUCUCAAUGCCAAUAUGCAUCUUAUCUAAUAUGAUCUACAACAUGUUAACAUUCAUUUAUAUGCUCUAGCAUGUUUUACUACAUAUGAGCAUGCAUCUAGCAAUUAGCAUAUAUUUUCAAUGCAUCAAUAUGCAAUUAUCAACUAUCAUCUAGUAUGAUUCACAUGAUGCUACCAUGCAUAUAUGUUCUCCAUCUAGCACUUAAAUUCACAUGCAUAAUUCUCUAAACCUAGCAAUUAGGUUUACUUGCAUACAUUUCUAUCUAGCAUAAUCACAAUGCCAUCAUGCCCAUACAUAUGCAUCAACAAGGAUUCAUACUCCACUUUGACAUGGAGGCGACCUAGUCGCUUCAGUAAGCACAACCCACCUAUUAUCGCGUUCCGAUUGCUUGUAGUCACUUGCAAUCGGCCUCCCGCGGCACACGCCGCCCGGUUCGGCCCGAUCUCACGCUUGACCACCGAACGACCACCAAUCCGCAAUCCGAAAAUUCAAGGUCUAUAACUUGGUGCCACGACGCUUCGGAUCCGUUCUCGUGAUUUUUUGGACGUCGCCUCGACCCUCCAGGCAGAAACGAAGCCAAAUCAUCUGUUUCUUCAAUAUCUUCGCGUAGGCUAGACGGAUCGCCGAACGGACUUCGCCAACGUGUCAGAAUAUCUGGCAAUUAGGUUUACAUUGAUUCAAUUUAGAUCAAACCCAUCUAUAUAUCAAAACCACACUUUGGAGUCCUAGGUGCCACAAUUGCAAAAUCCAGCAUUUAGUCUCUAGAUUCAUGCAUUAUCCAACUAUUUAGCAUCUUAGGAGUCAUCUAAAAUCAAUUCUAGAGUUUAUAAAUCAAACCCUAGCUACUUGCCAUUAAAGAGCAUCAAGCUUCCCUCUAGAAGCUUGCUAUUGGGCCAAGAAAGAAGAUGAAGAGGAAGAAAAUCCACCUUCUUGACUCCUUCUCCACCAUCUUCUUCUCCUUGCUCCACUUCUAGAGAGAGAGAGAAGAGAAAUCUAGAGAGAAGGAGGAGCUCCUCUCUCUAGCUCAUGUGUGUGUGUGUGCGCAUUUGGGUUGAGAAAGGAAGAAGAAGGGUUAAAAGCCUUUCUUCUAGAAGCAACUCCACCACUUUACAAGAUUGCCCUUGCUCAAACUAGGCAUUUUCGGGUCUCGGGGACCGGUCCUUGGCUUGAGGGACCGGACCCCGUAGGUUCAGAAUUUCAGCAUCCUCCAGACUUAGCCAAAUUUUCAACAUUUUCAGCUUUUGUCUCCGUUUUCGCUCGUUUUCGCUCCGUGGGUCUCCGAUUCAUUUCAAAUUGCACCGAGACUCUCAAAACAUGUUUUCGAGCGUAUUUACAUCCUCUUUUCAUCCACGCUUAUGACAGAUUUAGUCCAUAGUCCAACUUAGCCUUUCGGGUUCCGUUUUUGCGCCCAACGCGCACGGAAAAUGCCCGAAUGCUCCCGAACUUCACCGGAACCAUUUUAAUGGGUUUCCAAACCAACAUACACCGUAACUUCAUAAUUAUAGAAGUUCGGUAUCUUACACUACUCCUCUUAUGCUUCUCUUUUUCUCCCUCUUUCUCUCUCACUUAACCCUAUGUUCACCUAGGGUUAGUCUCUCUAGCGUAUUAAUGUCUUCGUGGAUCCGCCGCUUGCCAGGAGGUUGCUCCUUCCCUCUACCAUACGCUUAUAUCUACUGCAAAUAGGGGCAUUUAAUGCCACCGCGUAUCUGCCGCUCUCCCGGAGAUGGUUUUCUUUCUCGGUCGUACGCUUUUAUCUACCACAAAUUGAGGCAUUUAAUGCCCUCGUGGAACCCCACUUGCCCGAAGAUGGUUCCCUUCCUUGGUCGUACACCUGUAUCUACCACAAAUUUGGGCAUUUAAUGCCCCUUUCGAAUCCCCCCACUCUUCUGGAGAUCGCUCGCUCUCUCAAGUUGGUUGGGGAUCGUGCUAAUCUGCACUGUACCUCCCCAUCUGCUGUGGAUCUAGCCAUUUAGUGCCGCCGUCGAGCUCCGGCAUGAGCAAUUAAUUUCGCCGCAGAGGAGUCAACUCCGGCGUCCUCGAUUCCAGCUCUUUUCCAUUUCUUUCUAUCUCUGGUGUCGUUUCGCUGUUAUUUCAGAACGGGGCGCUGCUCGAUGCCGAUGAGGGACUACUCAAUGCCAACGCCCUCCCCCUUCUCUUCUCCCUAUUCUUUUGGUUUGUUUCGAUGCUGGUAUGUAUAUAUAACAUUGGUAGAUAAGGUUCCAUGCCCAAUUUCUUUCAAGCUUGCAGCUCUUACUUGUCAACUCUGUUAUUAUUCGUAGUAUUGUUGCCUGUAAAGAGGAGGUCCGGUUCUUCGGAAGUUCCUUUGAUUACUUCCUAUUCUGAUGUUGUCUGUCUAUGUACAAGUCUAGAUUUCUUAAUGCUUGGGUGCUUCGAUGUUUGGUCGUGGUUUUGCAUGCGAUUCCUCCUGCUCUGCCUAUUGUCAUUUGAUUUUUUUUGCCCUAAAUUUUGUAUUUCUUUGUUUUUUUUCCUUUGGUUUUGCUUGGACUUUGACAUAUUCUUUCUCUUAUAUUUAUUUUAUUUUCCUUUUUAGCUUCACUUUCUAUAAUAGACUAUUUUUCUUGGACUUCUUUCCUUUUUUUAAAAAAAAUGCGAUAUUUCAAGUUCAAGUUCUACAGCUCAAUUUUCUUAUUAUAGUAUUUACUUUUUUUUUAGUUUACCUCUUUCUCACUAUUGCUUUCUCCAUCCUCUGAAGCGGGGCAAUGAUGAUAGGGGCAAUACUCUGAACUUAUCUUCUCUGCUGAAUUUGCUUCCCAGAUGCUGCAUUCUAUACUAAAUUUAUCCGCAAUGGCACGGCAUGUUGAAUGGCCUCAGGGUAAUCACUGCAACCUGCAGCUAUUACUGCAGAGUUUCGAUCCAUACAAUGUUCAUCAUACCCCUUUGCUUUGGGGGAGGGGAGGGGGUUGCAUUAUGUUUUUCCAUGUUUUUAAUAUCUGCUUGCUUUUUUUUUUGCAUACUAUUUUUUUCUUAAAUUUAACAAUCGAAUAGCUUCAUCAACUACUUUUAUCGACUUUUCUUAUUUCUUAAAAUUUUCUCUUGGAUUUCCGUACUAUUAGUGUAGGCAUGGAAGUGAUCGACGUUUCAUUUAAGCACUUAUUGAUUGAAAUUACGUAGAAAUUAUCUAUGCCGGUGCCGAAAUAUGGUCUACCGUGGACACAUCUAGCGAGCUGAGUGCUUACGUCGAUGUCGAGGUUUAGCGUGGCGACUUUGUGACAGAAACCAUUCAUUCUUGGGGUUGUCCGGCCUGCGUUGCAAGUCCAUCCGAAGAGGAUGCGGCCCAUAAUAACAUCAACACUUUACGUGACGAUCUUGGCUUCAACAUUCGAGAUACAAAUAAUAUAUAAAUAACGAUUUUGCUAUGUCUUUGGAUCUGAACUAAUCUUUAAUAUCAAAAAUAUUUAUGCAAAUAUUUUUUUCUUAUGUUGUUUAAUAUUUAUUAUUGUGUGCUUACUGUAAAUCUUCCUAUCCGCCGUGAAGUGCGGGUCCUUAACUAGUGUGAAAUUAAAGUUGUAUUUUAAUUAGAUCUAAUGCCAUUUUGUUCUUUGAUUAUUAGUAUAUGAUGAUUUAUCUCUAUUCUCUGAUUAUUAGCACAGGAUGAUUUAUCUUUAUUUUUCAUUAUUAUAUAGUUAAAUUAAUUUUUUAAAAAAACUAUAUGAUUUGGGAGGAAGCACGAAUCUGAGCCUUACAUUAUGUUUUUCCAUAUUUUUGAUAUACUUGCUUUUUUUUUGCAUAUUUUUCUUUCUUAAAUUUAACAAUAUGAAUAGCUUCACCAGCUACUUUUAUCGACUUUUCUUAUUUCUUAAAAUUUUCUCUUGGGUUUCCAUGCUAUUAGUGCAAGCAUGGAAAUGGUCGACAUUUCAUUUAAGUAUUUGCCGCUUAAAAUUACGUAGAAAUUAUCUAUACUGAUGCCAAAAUAUGGUCUUACCGUGAACACAUUGGGCAAGCUGAGUGCUUACUUUGAUAUUGAGGUUUAGCGCGGCGACUCUGUGACAGAAACCAUUUAUUUUUGGGACUCUCCGAAGAGGAUGCGGUCCGUAAUAGCAUCAACACUCUACGUGACGAUUUGGCUUCAACAUUCGAGACACAAAUAAUAUAUAAAUAACGAUUUUGUUAUGCAUUUGGACCUGAACUAAUCUUUAAUAUCAAAAACAUUUAUGCAAAUAUUAUUUUCUUCUAUCAUUUAAUAUUUAUUAUUGUGUAUUUACUGUAAAUCUUCCUUUCUACCGCGAAGCGUGGGUCCUUAAUUAGUGUAAAAUUAAGUUGUAUUUUAGAUCUAAUGCCACAUUUAUUCUUUAAUUAUUAGCACAUGAUAAUUUAUCUCUAUUCUCUGAUUAUUAGCACAAAUAUUAGUAAUUUUUUUAAUCCUCAUUUGAAUCUUCUUCAGUUUCAGAUUAUCGAUAGAGAUCUCCUUUUAAACUUACAUCAUGCUAAUCAAGUUGGAUUUGUUAUUGUGGUGGUGUGUGUAAUGUUCGUUUUGCGAUUAUGUGAAAGGGAUUGGACAUUAAAUAAAGAACCAUCUAAACUGAGGGAUUUAUAUAGAAAAGGCUCAUAUGCGUAGUAUAUUAUGCGGAGGAAGAAGAAACUGCUUGGAUUAUGUUCGAAUGGGAUCUGAGACCUUUUUAACACUUGCUACUAUAAUGAGGGACGGGGUUAUUAAGAGAUACAAUACAUAUGACAAUUGAAGAGCAAUUAGCCCUAUUUUUACAUACUGUAGGUCACACUACUAAGAAUAGGGUAUUAAAAAUUAAGUUUAUUCGUUUAGGAGAGACAGUGAGCCGCUAUUUUAAUUUAGUACUUCGAGUUAUAUGUGGCAUCAAUAACCAACUUAGUCAACAGGUGAGUUCUACAACUCAUCCAGAAAUUACAAUAAAUCCAUAAUAUUUUCCUUAUUUUAAGAUAAACAAGUAGAAUAAUACAGAAAAAUACUAAUAAAAAUUAUUUUGUUAAAAAUUAUAAUUGACUUCUAAUACUAUCUUACGAUUGUGUCGGUUUAUUGGAUAGUAUCCAUAACCCAGCAAAAGUUCUAACUAAUAUACCUGCUCGAUUUUGUGGUCGAAAGGGGUUGACACAAAAUGUGUUAGCAGCAGUCACCGCAUACUGUAAAUUUACUGAUGGGAAGGAUCUGCAAAUGAUUAUGCAGUACUUAAAGACGCCCUUUUCUUGCCUCCUCCAUCAAAAUUACGUGUAAUUGAAGGUAAAAUACAAGUAACCAUUGUAUCAAAUUUUAUAAAUAAAAUAAUUGUUACUCUACAUAUAAUUGUCCAAAUGCAAGAAAAUAUUAUUUGGUUGAUGCCAGCUAUACUACGUUGCAUGAUUUUAUUUCUCCAUGAAAUAUUUUCUCUGUGAAAUAUUAUUUUAAGUAAGAAGAAAAUCAAAAAACUUUUUUCGGGUAAAAAGCCUAAAAAGAAUUUAUGGUGUUUUGAUGUGAAAUUCAAUAUAUAUUAUAAUUUUACGAUCUAAAAUGUUAAUCUAUCAGAAUUUAUCAUAUAUGUAUUAAUUGAAGAAUAAAGGGCUUAAAAAUUUUUGCGAAGCAACGUGCUCCUCAUCGCUCUAUGCCCCACUCAACCUCCAACGUAUGCUUUCGACGUUGUAGCCAGUAGGUGCCUCAAUAAGUAGCAUGGUAUACCUUCGUAUUCCAUUGUCGUAUUAAUGUUAUUUUUUUGAUUCGUCGCUAACUGGGACUGUUGGGCGCCUCCAUGAGGCCCAGGUUCAGCAUUGCUCUGACAAUGCCUUCAGCUUCAUCGUGGAGAGGUAUUCGCUUCUGUGUAGAGUAAGGGUUCUAUUUUAUCUUUUACUCAUAUCUUAAAUUUUUUAUGAAAUUAUGCUUCUUUUGUCAAAUAAAUCUAUUUGACUUUUGAAUUUGUGGAUUUAUAUUUACUGCUAACUAAAGGGAAAAAAAUAGCUGUUAGGCUUUUUUUAUUUAUUUUAUUUCAUGCUCUAAGUUACAGCAGAAAUCCUUUGAGCACGUUAACAGCCCUGUCGUAUGCACGAGAACGCACCCCGCACAUGUGAAGCGUAAAUCAAUCAACAAUACAAAUCACAUAGAGUGUAUGUAUGAAAAACAUGUGUCAUGGUCUAUAAACAACUAUACAACUGCAGCUACAACUUUACAUAUAACUAUAACACAAUUCAAAACUAACAUAUACAAGAGUAGGGCUACGAGUCUAGCUAUGGUGCUUGUAAACGCACCAAGCACUUGGUGCUUGUAAAUUUUUUACCGUUAGAUCUACGCCUUUGAUCAUUUUCACCCGUUAGAUUAUAUUAUUCAACCAACCACGCACUCAACCCUAGAGGGCCCACAUCAUCCUAACCACACAUUCCUUAAUCCAAUGGCCAAAAACUUACAAGCACCAAUGACUUGGUACUUUUAAAAGCAUAGGAGCUCAAUUCGUAGGGCUAAUAUACUCUUAUAAGUAUAGAGCCCUUAGUACUAAUAAGUUGUUUUCGAUAUUGGGGUUUUCGAAUCGACGAUCCAUACCGUUAAACAUGAUCUAGAGUAUUUGAAACUUCUAUAAAAAAAAUUUCAUAAUUUUUAAAAAUCAUUAUAAAGUCUAUCAAAUGGGUAUAAAAUGAACGGUUAAAAUCGAACUAUAUCCUAAAAAUAGAUGACUGGAUACUUCAAUUUAAGAUCGGAGUUAUUGAUCUUUAUUUAGGUAGUGAAUAGAAUUUUCUGUCAAAAAUUCAACCUAUUCUGAUUCUUUUUCACCGUUAAACUACAAGUAUCUCAUACCGGCCGUUAAAAAUUGCCAAUUUUGUGAGCUUUUGAUCGUAAGGUAAAUGAUAUCAAAAAAUUAUAAAAUUUGAUUUCUAGAAGUUUUAAAUGCUCUAGAUAAAUUAAUAUUUAACUGUGACACCCCAAUAGUCCCACAAUAGUCCCACAUCGGAUGGGAAUGGGGUUGUCAUUGGGUUUAUAAGAGACUUAGACACUAGUAAUAAUAACUGGGCUUAAGCAUUUUGGGCGGAAACCUUUAUCAAAAGAAUUUUCUGUGGAUUUAUGUUUAAAUAUUAAAUGCAAAUCUGUGAUGUGAAUGGUGAAUAUAUGAAUGUAUGAAUGUAUAGUUAUUUCUAUAUUCAUUUAGUUGUGGUUGUAUCCUGUUUGUACUGUUGUACUUGUGCGACGCCGUGCAAAUACAGGGGAGACUCUGUCCGUGUGAACAGUGGAAUCCCUGUAUUUGUGGCAGAUCUGGCAUACUCUGGGGUCAGGUUUUUUAAAAAAAAAAAAAAAAUAGACGCUUUUUCCGCUGUGUUCAAACAAAAAGGGACCCCGGGGCAUGACAGAUUAAAGAAUCUAUCACGCCCCGGGGUCCCUUUUGAGUUUAAGAGAAAGCGGAAAAGCGUCUGAAUUUUUUUAAAAAAAAUCUGACCCCAGAGUAUGCCAGAUCAGCCACAAAUACAGAAAAUCCACUGUUCACACGGACAGAGUCUCCCCUGUAUUUGCACGGCGUCGCACAAGUACAAGAAGUCACCCAGGCACAACCACAACAAAUGAACAUACAAAUAACCAACCGUUAUAUAUAUUCAUAUACCAUUCACCACAGAUUCAUACUCAUGCAUUCAACAUUUAAACAUAAAUCCACACCUAUCAGUUAAAAUGUUUCCAACCACAGAAACAAGUUUUGAAAUACUAAGAUACAAAAUCACAGAAAACCUUUUGAAAGCUGUUCCCUACACGGGAACUUUUAUCUUUUAAAAACGCUACCACGAGGGGUAGAAAAUCUUUUAUUUUACAAAAUCCAGAAAUCCUUUUAUUUUAACGUAAUGAAAUACUGAACCACAUAAACCAACUAAACUAUACAUCAACAGAAAUAAAAUGGGUAAUAACUAAACCGAAAUAACCUGGGCCGGAAGCUCUAUCGACCGCUAUGUAUCUCACGUCUCGUCUCAACCCUUACCGCCCACAAUAUCUAAAAAAUAGUGGGGGAUGUGAGAAAAUGUAAACAUGUUUCCCCUCCCAGUGGGUACCGCAAGCCGAAGAAGGCGAGGAGUACUCACUGGAUCAGGAAGAGCUAUACAACAACACGGGUCAGUGGAAAUAUAGUAGCAACAAUAAUAAACGAAAGAGAUAUGUAAGGAGCUGACAAGUAUAGAUGCAGGUAAAUAAAACAGUAGCUACAAUAAAUAGAUAAGGAUGUACUGAAAAUAAACACUACAGUUACUGUAUGCAUGCGUCAACUGACGAUAACCUCAAAAGUACCCAAUCUCGCUGCCCUAUUGGUCCGAAGACCUCAGGCCUAUGCCACACUUCUCAACCUGUACCUGACCCUCGCAAUGAAGCCCCUGGGUCAGAAGCAUAGUACCUGACCCUCGCAAUGAAGCCCCUGGGUCAGAAGCAUAUACCCUCGCAAUAAAGCCCCUGGGCUCACGGGUUGGCAAUCCAACCACUUUUCCGGAAAAGAACACCCUCUUGCGGUGGAUCAGACUGCUGGUGUUCGUGAAAUGCGUACCUGGAGUGGCGAUCAAUGUAGUAUGCUCAAAGAUCUUCCAUCAGCAACUAGCCGACAAUCCAGCCCCUCAGGGCACACCGACCGUAUAGGCCAUCAGCAACUAGUCGGCUACGUAUGUCAAGAUAGAACUGUAGCAACUCGACCGAACAGGUCAUAGAUAUCAAAAUAGGGGAAUCGCCCAACCAAAUCACAGAUAUAGUGAACAGAUAAGUCAACUCUACUCCUAAGCAUGAUAUCAACAUGGAACUAACUGAGUAGAGGAAUGCAGAUAUAAAAGCAGGUGCAAGGCUCAAUAUGAUAUCAACAUAGGGGAACCGCCCAACCAAAUCACAGAUAUAGUGAACAGAUAAGUCAACUCUACUCCUAAGCAUGAUAUCAACAUGGAACUAACUGAGUAGAGGAAUGCAGAUAUAAAAGCAGGUGCAAGGCUCAAUAUGUAUAUGCACACAGAUAAUAGUAAGAGGGCAAGGGUAGAAACCAUCAUCGAACGUGCACCACUGUACCGACGUCGGAUCGAAGUACCCACCUGUACGAAUGUCGCACCUGUCUCCUGACUGCGAAAGGAUGUCAACCUGAGCAGUAGAGCUAGGGUUGGUUGCCGGCGGCCGGACUGCAGGAGGCCCGGCCAGGGAAGGGUGCGGUAGGUCGGUGGGGUCCGGGGCACCAGCUGGUCGACAGCGGGAGGCGGCCGGUGGCGCGGCGGAGGAGAUCAACUCCACCUAGCUACUCUCGGGUUCAACAUCCACGGCGGCCACGCGAUGGUGGGAAAAGCUUGGGACGGCGACGACCCGUCGCCGGAGGUCGAGAGGAAGGCGGCGCGCACGGCCUAGGGCGGCGGCGGCGCACGGAGGCAGUGCGGGUCCAAGCUUGCAUGCCUGCAGGUCGACUCUAGAGGAUCCCCGGGUACCGAGCUCGAAUUCGCCCUAUAGUGAGUCGUAUUACAAUUCACUGGCCGNCGCGGGGACGGCGGCGGAGGGUCGCCGGGGGUUGAGGGAAGGCGGCGCGGCCGAUCUAGGGCUGCUUUACCUAGCGGGCCCUGAGCUCAAGUCCGCUCGGUCUGGGUUGACCCGAGUUGGCCAUGGCUUGCUCGGACGGCGCCGGCGGCGUGCGCAGGAGGCGGGGACGGCCGGUGACGGCACCGGAGGGGAAGCCUCGGCCAGAUAAUAUAGGCUCAGCCCAUGGGGUGGCUUCCCGAAGUCAAGAGGCCGUGGAGGGUGGAGAAGGUGGUGAUGGAGAUGAUGGAGGAGAGGGAGGUAGAGCUUUUCCGGCGGCCGGGGUUACUCGCCGGCGGCAGGGGUGCGCGCAUGGCAAGGGCAUAGAGGUGCUGAUGACGGUUAGGGUUAACUGGGGGUGCAAGUCGGCUAGAUCUAGGGUUUCAUGCUAAGAAAUCCUAGUGCAACAUUAUAUGCAACCUGCAACUUUGCAGAGAAGUCCCCCAAAGAUAAUUGUUAUCAUCUGAGUCCCUGACAGUGCAUAUGUUUUGCAUGUACGCACCUCCAUGCUCGAUCUCGCGUGCUUCGGUACAUAAAAUAUCGCAACUUUUCGCGGAUUUUCCGAAUUGCCACCUUCGACCUCUUAACGAAAACUUCGCAAUUACCAGAGAUCCGUCCGUCGGAUUUUCGAUCCGACGACACCAUUGCGUUCAGCACGUCGGGGGCAUCAAAACUACAAUCUUAUUUCGUCAGAUUUGGUCACGGAUUCGCGACGAAACCCAUCUGCUCUCUAAUUAAUCCAUAUAUCGCACAUAUACCAAUGUGUAAACCCAUUAAACCAACUUUCGCAUUAGAAAUUGACUUCCCUACCACUAGUAGGGACCCGAAACAUUCUACACCCUACUCCAGGUCACAAGCACGGAGCACGAGGAGCUUAAAAAAUGCAAGAACAGUCAAGAACGGAAGUCCUCUUUUCGGUAAAAUUCCUUUUUCCCGGAAACUGUGCAUCAGAUCUGGAAUCCGUCAGUGCCAUUGGUUCCAGAAUAGCUGAACCGAUCAAAAUGAGCUAUUGGAUCGCUAUGAACGGAGUCCGAUACGCGCCGAAAGCCAACUCUAUUACGUGGCUUCUUCGAAAAACCGGAGUUACUAUUCACUUUAAGUGAUUAGUUUUAAUUGCGUAACUUCUCCGUUGUAGCUCAUUUUCUCCUGAAACUUGACGAGUGCUUAUGUAAUUAAAUUACACACAUAAACAUCAUCAACAGAGAGUAUUUGCACUGUAAAAAUCUCAGUCCUUACAUUAUCCCCCCCUUAAAAGAAGUUUCAUCCUCGAAACUUGACCACAUACCCACCGAAAUCGGAUUCGGAUAUUACUUCCACCACUGUGGUAUCACCUUUGAGUAUUGGUCAAUUACAUUUCCAUGAAUCGGGACAGAUCAACUAUCGUUUCACAUGGACGGGACGAGGGGAAAAUAUACUAACCCAAAAACCAUGGACCAAAACUCACCGGGAUCAAUACUAUCCUAUAACCUGCGGACAAAAACAGUCCCGCGACUAGGAUUAUCAGAUCCCAAAUGACAAUUCUGAGAUAACACUUCAACACUUAGAAAUUCUAGGUCCACUCAACCUUGGUCCGCAUACCAGUAACCGACUCGACUGCGUCGAAGGUUCACGUAGAAGAGACACGAGUCAAAACUCUCGCCUUGGAGACCACAGUCUCCAACCAGUAACCACACAAACUGCCAAAACCUCCUUCAACGGAAAGUCACCUGCGACAAUCUAUAGUCCUAGGUCCAAGACUUCAAUUUCCACCUGACCAACAGGUCCAACUGACGAUACCAUUUGGGCUAGACAAUUUUGUCUCCUCAAACUUAACCAGUACCAACAGACCACUGAAAGCUCUUUGCAAGUCCAUCACUUGAUGCACAGGUCGCCAAUCACAAAAGCGAUACUAACCGUCGGCGAUGCUCAACAUUUGUCUUCACGAGACCCUGUCGCUGCCGUCCUACCAUGGACCCUAGCGAUCGAUGUUCCCAGCAACACCCGUUUACAUGUCUUAUUGAGACCGAGGCACACCUGUCACCAAUUUGACUGGACAAGCAUACCAUUUCAUGGUUUGCACGUUAAGCCAAGUCACAAAUCUUAUAUGCUAUCACAUACAGUGACAACCAAAGCCAACAACCAGGCUCAAGUCACUCAACAACUGAUUUCGAACCUCUCGACAAACAAACCGAGACUAUUAAAUAACCAAACCUUUUAGUUGUAACAAGUACAACUAAAGAACUACGAACACCCAGACUCGAACUAAAGUCAAAACCCUCGGUAAUGAUGAUAAAUCGACUGCGCAAAACCUGCCAAGGAAUAAUCCAAGGCUUGCCACAUGGUCAGAGAUGACAGAUUAAGAUGGUAUCGGAGCCAAUUACCAGCUGGAAGUGUGAGAUGAGUCUCGGCUGAGCCAGGGUCUGGAUGACGGGCUAGCGAGACGAGUCUCACAUCGCCUGGUACUUGUGAGUCUGAGCCUGAUGAGGACGUCAGGGCUUAAAGGAGGGGAGAUUGUGAGACCCCAGAUAGUCCUAUAUAUAAGAUAUAAUAGGGCUAAAACUCUUAACCCGGCUUAAGCAUUUUGGGUGGUGGCUAGACCCAAGAGGUUAAGAGAGUUAAGCGUGCUAGGACGGGAGUAGUCCUAGGAUGGGUGACCCCCUGGGAAGUUGGGGCGUUACAUUUACGGUAUGGAUCGUCGAUUCGAAAGCUCUAUCAUCGAAAACAACUUAUGAGUACGAAGACGAUCAUACUCAUAAGAGUAUAGUAGCCGAACUCUCUAUACAAUAUCAUCCACCUCUUUGAGCCCAAUAUUUGUAGCUAGCUAAACUACCAAAAUGUAAUCCUCCACUAACACUCAUCCAAUAUAGGAGAUGCUAUCUAGUCUGCGAUCUCUUUACCUCGAUCACUAGCUAGAAUAUGGAUUGAAAAUUUAAAUAUAUAAUUUUUUAAAAUUAUUCUAUGUACAGUUGCUCUAGCAAACAACUUGUGAAGAACUUCAAUUUCACCCAAUUUUUAUUAAACUAAAUUAGUUGAUUAUAAUUUUAAAUUUGUAUUAAAAACUUUGAUAUUCAUAUUUAAAAAAAUAUUCCGAAAACUAGUAAGAAAACGUUUAGAGGCAAAAAUGUAAGAUCUAACUUUAAUCCUUUCGUAAAUCGAACUAUUAAUUCUACUUAAAAAUUUAAAGUUUUAGAAUUUGAAAACUUUGAUGUUCCUACGAAAAAAAAAAGAAUUAUGAAAAACAAUAAGAACAAGUUUAGAAGCAAAAAUAUAAGAUGUACUUUAAUCUCUUUGUAUAUCAAACUAUUUAAUUUUAUUUAAAUCUUUAGGCUUCGUUUGGUUCGGGAUUAAGUAAGAACUAGUUAUUCCGGUAAUAGAAAUAAGUUCAGGUGUAAGCUUGGAAUAGAUCAAUUUUGUGUCUGGAUAAAAAUUGAGUUGUUCCCGAGAAUAAGAAAAAUGGCGUUUGGAUAGAUAAGGUGGAAUAAAAAAAAUAGUGGGUAGCUAUAAAUAGAAAAUAAUAAUAUUGCCCCUUAUAUUUGAAUUUAAAUUUUUAAAUUUUAUAUUUAAAAUUUUAAAUUUAAAUAUAUAACUUUAAAAAAAAAUUUAAAAUAAAAUUUUAAAUUUUAAAUAUCAAAUUCAAAAAUUUAAAGUUCUAAAUUUUAAAUUUAAGAUUAAAUUCAAAUUUAAAAAUAUCAAAAUUUAAAUUUAAAAAAUUAAAAAUAAUAAUUUAUAAUUUAUAAUUUAUAAUUAUAAAAAUUAAUUAAGAUUACAAAUUCUUAAAUUUAAAAAAUUUAAAAUUUAAAAUUUAAAUUUAAAUAAAUGGAUUGAGAUAAUUAAUCCCACUCAAUUCGGGGGAGGGGGUUUGUUAACCCACCCCUAACGGGUUAUCCCGUGAUAACCCGUUAGGGGUGGGGUUAACAAACCCACCACAUUGGAAAUGGUGUUUGGGAUUAAGGGGGAUAAUCCCUUAUCCCUCCUUCUAACCCCAAUCCAAUACCACCUUUUAAAUUUUUAAAUAUUGGUAAAAAAAAAUAUAAGAAAAAAGUUAGAAAUUAUAUACACAGCAUUUGGUUUAGGGUUGGGGGGAUAAGGGGUUACCCUCCUUAUCCCCAAGCACUUUUUUUGAGCUAACGCCACCCUCCAUGGAAUAAGGGUGGGAUUAGCUAAUCCUACCCCUAUAUAAAUAUUUAAAUUUAAAAAUUAAAAAUUUAUAAUUUAUAAUUUUAAAAUUAAUAUUUAUACUUUUAAAAUUUAAAUUAUUAUUUUUAAUUAUUUAAAUUUUAAAUUUGAUAUUUUAUAUUUGUAAAUUUAGAUUUUAUUUAAAAUUUAAAAUUUAUAAUUCUAAAUUUUUAAAUUUGAGAUUUAAAAAUUUAGAUUUUAAUUUUGAAUUUUUCCAUUUUAAAAGUUAUCUAUUUAAAUUUAAAAUUUUAAAUAUAAAAUAAAAAAUUAAAUUUAAAUAUAAUAAUUGGGGCAAUAUCAUUAUUUUCUAUUUAUAACUACUCACUAUUUUUCUCAUUCCAUCUUACUAUUCAAACGCUAUUUUUCUUAUUCCUGCGAACAACUCAGUUUUUUCAUCCAAAUACAAAAUUGGUCUAUUCUAGGUGUACACCUAAACUUAUACUUAUCCAUUGAAUAACUAAUUAUUACUUAACCUCGAACCAAACAAAUUAAAGUUUCUUGAAAUGAAUUCUUUUUUAAUUAAUAGAAAAUGAUAUAAUAAUUAUUAUAAUUUUGUAGGACAGACAAAAGGUGGGAUGAGAUAAAAUCACCAAACUUAUUUUUUUUAUAAUAAUAAGAAUAAAUAAUAGAACAAAUGGUAUAAUUAUAAUUAUAUAGAACUUAGCGACAAAUAGGGGGACAAAAGAAAAUCGCCAAAUUUAUUACUUAUAAUAGUAAGAAAUAGUAUCCAACAUUCCACAGCACCCCAAAAAGUUGCCAAUAAUUUGUUUAUAGGCUGCGAGGAUCGCCAUAAGAAUGGUUAAACCCGCCAUGCCUUAUUGCAUUCCAUGGCAUCCAAAAAAUCUGCCAACAUAGAAUCCAAACCUUCACUAUAGCGAAGCCCAACAUCAUAGCCUCCUCAAAAAUAAAAAUUUUGAUUUAAGUAAAACCAGGCUGCAAGAAGUGCUACGAGAAGUGCCAAACCUGCCACGCCUUAGUGUGAAAUCCAAACCUUCACUAUAGAGAAGCCCAACAUCAUUGCCUCCACAAACCUUUAAAAUUUAAUUUAUUUAAUUAAAAUCUGGAAAAAAAUAGAUAAAAGCAGAUCUUCAAGCAAAGGAACGGGCUGCAUACUAUCAAGUGACACACCUAGUUAAAUUUUAAAUUAAACUGAUCCUAAGAUUAAAAAUAAAAGGAAGAAGGUUGUGGUAUCCAAACCUGCACUAUAGAGAAGCCCAACAUCACAACCUCACUAAUCUCUUUUCGAAAUAGACCAGUGCAUAGCUUUAAUGUACAAAAUAUAAACUAAAAACAAAAGAGAGAAGUGCGGAAAAUUAAAAAUAAAGACCAAUGCACAAAUUUAAGUCCAAAGAGACCAUAGCUUUAAGUACAAAAAAGACCAAGGCACAAAGAGAACAUAGCUUUAAGUACAAAUUUAAGUCCAACUGACGAAUAAACUAAAAAUAAAAGAAAGAAGUGCAGUUGGCACAAUCAUCAAAAUACAUCUUUUAAAUAGACCAAUGCGUAACUUUAAACCAAAAUAUAAAUCUGAAAUGAGUGAUGCAUAGUUUUGGAAAGAACAACACAAAAAUCAUGCGCGCAUGCAUGACCAUCAAUACCAAAAUGAGCAGCAGUAAGAUAUGACCAUCGGUUACAAAAUAAAAUCCAAACCUGUAAAAUUAAUAAUUUAAUUAAAACAAAAAAAGAAUUAAGCAGAAGGCACAAACUGCAGUAGGCAAUCCAUGUUAAUUUAACAGCAGAGCAAGAAUAGUUGGAAAAAGCCAAAUUUUCAAUAUCAAGAGAAGGCUAUGUAAGAAGAAUUUGAACUGAAACAGUAAACUAUAAAGCAAAUGGGUAAUAAAAGGAGAGAAAAAAUCUGAAAACUACUGUUGAAAACUGGUAGAAAGAGAAGGCUAUGUAAAAAAAUCAAGAAUAGUUGGAAAAAACCAAAUUUUUAAUAUCAAUAACACUACUAAUUAAAGAUUUUGUUAAAAUUAUUAUGCUUAUAUUAAAUUUAACAAUUCACAUUAAAGAGGCAAGUUAGAAAAUAUAUAUCAACAAAUUAUAAAUAAGUAAAUCUAAGUUGAGAGGCAAAUAUAAACCAGCAAAUUAUAAAUAAGCAAAUCUAAGUUGAGAGGUACAUUUUAGAAUGGUCAACCUUUGAGGAUUUAACAUUACACAACCUAGAAAAUUCAGCAUAACUAAAAUUUUAAAGUACUAUUGAAAAUUAUAACUCCUAUAUUAACUAUAAGUAACACAAUUCAGAUUAAAUUCAUUUUAAUUGGUAACAUUAACAUAAAGUAACACAUAUAGAACUUCAAAGAAGCAUGUACAUACAUACAUACAUCUACAUAUGUAUAUAUGCUUUAAUGUAAGGAAGAAGUGCAAAUUUAAGAACAAAUUUAAGUCCAAUUGGCCAAUAACUUUAAAAUGAAAGUAAGAAGUGCAAUAGGCACAAUCAUCAAAAUACAUCUUUAGAUAGACUAAUGCAUAGCUUUAAACCAAAAUACAAAUCUUAAAUAAGCGGCACAUAGUUCUGGAAAGGACAACACAAAAUUCAUGCGCGCAUGCAUCACUUGCAAAAUGAGAAGUAGCAAGACAUGACACUUUCUAUUGAACCUUCGACAACUAACCCAAGGGGGCAGAUGUACCAUCCGAUGGAUCAGUUUCUAUAUUAGAUGGAAUAGGAAUCGGACGAUUGAUCACAGCAUGGCACUUUUCAGUGGCACGACGUAUCUGGACCCGCUCGAUCAUGAACUCAUUUAUCUGUGCAAGAGUAGCGACGUAACAAUCCUUCACAAAGUUAUACUCACGAACCAAGUUGUUGUACUGCGCAAACUAUACAGCAUACUCUGUGGAUAGAUGAUUGUAUAGAUUUUUAUAGAAGAUACUAUUAUCAAAAUUUAUAUCUUUAAUUUGCAAAUCUAAUUCUUCCACCAUCCUCUUAAUAGCAACGCGAGCAGCAUCAUGCUCAACUGCUACAGAUGUGGAGGAUUGCAACCCCCAGCAGCGUGCAAUUUCAACUAUAGAUUCACUUCAUGAAAUUGGAAGAUCUAUAUAUACGAGGUAAGCCCCCUCUGCAGCGGGAGCGACAACACACUCUGGUGUUUCCAUAUGCAGCUUCUCAGAAAAUCUCACGAAAUAAUCGAAGGUAAGAAAGCUGAACCGUCGACAUAGUAGAAGCUGCAAGAAAAGAAGCCCGAGAAAAAUGAGGGCAAAGAGGAGGUAAAUGAGAAGUUAGUUGUAAAAAAAAUAGUUUUUAAAAAUAUUUUGUACAAUCAGUCAAUAUUAUAAGAUAAAAAAUAGGGUAAGGCAGGUUUAAAAAUUAUAAAUCAACAGCAUUUGGGAGAGUUAACAGUGAAGAAAAGGGUCCAGCUUAGAAUAGCUGGAAAAAAGCCAAAUUUUCAAUAUCAAUAAUAGAAAGCGUAAAUAGUAAUGAAGCAAAAAAGAAGAAGAAGAAGGAUUCAGCUUAGUAAGAAGAAUUUGAACUGAAACAGUACACUGUAAAGCAAAUGUGUAAAGAAAAAUCAGGAAAAACUACUGUUGAAAACUGGUAGAAAGAGAAGGCUAUGUAAAAAAAUCAAGAAAAUACAGCAGCAUAUUGCUUAAAGCAACGUCACCAAGAAAUAAUCUGCUAGGCUCAGGUAAUACAGGCAAGCAAUUUAUGCAAUGAAAGAAGACAUGCAGCAGGAUUGGUCCAUUAGUGAAAGAAGCAUCCCCAGAGCCAACUGAUCUAAAAGUAAUAAGCGGUUGCCUAUGAUAAGGUUAUCCAAACUUCUAUUAAAUUUUUUGAAUAAUCUAUUUCAUCCUACCUGCAUAUCAUGUGUUGUGUAGAAGAGGGGCAAGAGAUGCAAAAUAGUAAGUAGUUGCCUAUAAUUAGGCUGUCCAAACUUUUAUUAAAUAUUUUGCAUUUUUUAUGCCUGCCUAUUAUCCUUGCCUAGCAGAAGGGCAAGAAAUAAAACGGCAAUUGAAAGAAAGGGGAGCCUUAAAUCAUUGGUGAAGUAAACAACAACAGCAAGUCAAUAGAGCUUAACAAAAACCAAACACUAAAAACCAAUAAAAGUCAGCAAAGAUUGCCAAUAAAGUAAAGUAAAGGGGAGUAGAAGUAAUCAAAGAAGAUCAACCUUUGUGCUGUUAGUAGGAUGAGGAGAUAGUAACUGCUGCUGCAAAAGGUGUACAACUCAAAAAUAUACCUUUUUUUGUUCUGAGGAGAAUACUGUAGCAUGCAGCAAGUAAUAAAAAGGGCUAUUUAUAAUACUUCUGACCGAAGAUUUGCACUCUCACAGAAGUGAAGAGUGAAGGUAACAGUGGAAAGAGUAGGGUAAUUGGUAGUGUUGUUGCAAUAAUUCAGAAGAUCCCUCAAGAAUCCCAAAUCCAAGAGUAAGACAGCAAAAAAUCCAAGAGAAUUUCAGCUUAAUCUGUUAAGACCAAGUCGAAGAGAAAUAAGUGGAAAUCUUUUGAAACUUUAAGGAAAUCUUUACAGAGUAAGACAGACAUAAAAAUCUAAGAGAAUUUCAGUUUAAUCUGAAAAGCAAAAUAGAAGGAAAAUGAGUGAAAAUAUUUUGAAAUAAGUGCGAAUAUGUUAAAACCAAGUCGGAGAAAAUUAAGUGGUAAUCUUUUGAAACUCUAAGAGCUUGGAAAUCUUUUGGAACUCUAACUGAAUAUCUUUUGAAAAACUGAAAAACCUAGAAAGGCAUCAGAGUAGUUGUUCAUCGCGAUGGCCACCAUUCAAUAGGCGGGCUCAUCCCAUCCGCGGUCCAAUCGAGCAACGGAGACAUCCACAGAGGCACGAUGAAUAUGAUGGCCACAGAUCAAACUUUGAUGGCCACCGCCCCAUAGGCGGGCUCACACCAUCUAUGGUUGAAUCGCCGGGUGGAGCGAUCUAGAGAGAUCUCGGAGAGCUUACCUCCAUAAGUACGGGGAUAGGGCACUCAUCAUGAAGAGAGACGUGGAGAAGGGUGGAGAAGCUUACCUUGAUAGGCCUCGGAGAGCUUACCUUGAUAAGUAGGGGGAUAGGGCACUCAUGAGCGAGAGAGAGGUAGAGAAAGGCAUAGCAGCGGGCAAGAGGGGAGAGAGAGAGGGCAUGGAGAGACGCCUCGAAAGAGGCUUACAUGGUGGGCAAAAGAAGAUAAGGAGGGCGUAGAGAGACGCCUCGAAAGAGGCGUACAAGGCGAGCAAGAGGAGAGAGGGAGGGCGUGGAGAAAGGCCUCGGAAGAGGCGUAUAGGGAUGAUAGGGAGAAAGUAAGGCAGCAUAGGGAGGAAAGAGAGAUAAGGAGAGAGAGAAGAAGGAGAUAGAGAGAAGAGACAAAAAAUAUGUUAUGAAAAGAGAGAGAUAGAGAGAACGGGAAGAAACAGAUAGGAAGAAGAGUCAAAGAUGGUUAUAAACGUGGAGCUAUAAAAAUCUGCCACGUGUACCGUCACAACCAUCAAAUUAUGUAUUUGUAUGGAUAAUAGUAAGAAAAGAAUAGAUGUAGUCCUAGACAGAGUGGUAGUCUUUAAGAGACAUUUUGAUUUCUUAAAAAAAUGUGAAGAUUUUUUUAAGAAAAAUUUUCUAUGAAUAUGUAUUUUUUUUUUGUCUGUUCGGUUCUAAGAAAAAUUAGUAUUUUUUAAAAGUUAUUUUAUAAAUAUUAUAAAAACUAAUAUUUUUGUUUUCUGAAUUUCUUUUAAGAAACGAAAGCAUCAAAUUUUUUUAAAAUUUAAAAAUAAUUUUUUGAAAAUACUAAUUUUUUGGAACAAAACAAAAAGGUAAAAAUACAGAAAAAAAAUUUAUUCUUCUUUUCCAAAUAAGUAAGCAAUUAGCCCAUAAACCUUUUACCAAAAUUCUAAUUAAGUUACCGGUCGUUCCUAGUAUGAGUGGCAAAAGGGUUAUGGUUGAUAUCAAAAUUUUCAAAUUCGAAUCUAGUUGAUUUAUUUUCUCUAUCUAAAUUUAUUUUGUUUAAAAAAAAAUAAAAGGGAUAACAUCUACUACCUUUUUUUCUCUGAUAAAAAAAAAAAAAAAUCCAACCAAGUUCCUAACCUUAGACCCCCAAAACUAGUGGACUUACUAAACCCUAGUGUCACGGUGCGAGAAGGCGGGAAGGAGCCGGUCCACGACGAGGGGCUCGUCGACCUCGUGCGCGCGCGCUCUCUCUCUCUCUCUUCCCCCCUCUCUAGGGUUUCAAAAUUUGACCUGCAAAGAAGUAAGUAAUCUUUUCCUUCUCCGUGCUGCUCGAUGGACGCCGGCGGCUUCUCGGGUGCGUCGGCGGAUUCCGCUGCCGUCGAGAUUAAUCGGCUGAGGGCGGAGAAGGAGGCGCUGGAAGGCCGAAUCCGCGCGCUCGAGGCGCAGCUCGAGAACGCGCCGCCGGCCGGGGAGGAGACUCCCGCGAACGGGGUUUCCGGCUGCCGGCUGAGCCCCGAGAUGAUUUUCAGAUACAGCCGCCAUCUCCUGCUUCCGGAUUUCGGCGUCGGAGGUUCGCUCGUUGCCGAUUUCUUCUUCUUCUUCUUCUUCUUCUUCUUCGUUCGCAUGUCGUUGUUUGUGCCUAGACCCCGUUUGGGAUUGCGGGGAGAUUGCUUUAUGUGUGCGGUGAAAACUAUGACGAGAUGACGGUACGGAUAUUGGAGUGAGCCGGUUAAAAUAUAUUUUACGUCUAUAUGUUCUUUUUGCCCUAGUUUGUUGUGCACAAAUAACAAAUACAGAGCCGGAUGAAACGCAAUUAUGUAGCUUUAUACACGUAAAUCUUGGACAGAAAUGGUUCUGUGUAUCAAGAACCCUAAAGCUGAAUAAUUCUUUUGGAGGUUAUCAUUGAUUUUAUGAGGCUAGCAUGAAUAUCUAAUUCGAAACCAAAAAUACACUUCUCUGUGGGUUUUAGGCCCUGUUUGGCCCCGUGAGCAGUUGGCAAAGAGAAAAAUUGGAGCUCUUGAUGCAGCGGGAAGCAGAAAUGAGAUCUUGAGCAUCAAAAGCAGAAGCUCAACAUCGAGCUUGUGAUUUUGCUGCAGAGAGAAGUUAUUAUGGCACUAGUCAGGCAGCACUAUACCUUACGGCAGGCCAAAGAAGCCCUUAAUCGAAACUUCAUAUAAUAAUUCGGUCUCGAGAUUAAAAUGCAAGAAAACAUUCUUGUCUGAUUGGCCUUCUCUCUAUCAAUUAAACUUUGAAAACUUUUUCUUUUAUUGGUGUAUGAAUCAUUUCAGUGUACCUUACUUGCUUAACUUCCUGAACUUCCGCCACGGCUGCAUCUUUCUACUUUAGUAAUUCAUUUGGCCUGAUUGUAAAUUUUAAUCCAAUUGAUCCACAAUUAUAUAUUUUUAACAUUACCGACAUUUGGAAUCCUAUCUUUUUUACGUUCUAGUAGCUGGACUAGCUUUCAAUUUGAAAUGUAGAUACAAAAUUUGAACUUGUUGAUGAACUAGUGUGAAAAACCACUAUCUGGACAUUCGCAACUCUCCAUAUGUUUUAAGGAAAGGAGAAGCUGGAAAUCUCUUGGUUGUUAGUAUAAUAACAAGUUAUUUAAUGUUGAUGGGGGCUGAUAUUCAACAUACAUGCUAUUUUGGUUUGAGAACUCUUUAGGCAGUUUCAAAGCCUGAAGAGCACAAAACCUGUUUAUAUUGGGUAUUCUUUGCCUUGCUGAUCUACGGAGAAUGUAUGUUUCUCCUCUUUGAUAUUAAUAUCGUUAUUUUCAAUGUUAGAUAAGGUUUUACUUGUUUAAUUGCUUUCUCUUUGUCACAAGAAAUUCAGUCUGCAUCUCACUGUUGCAUUUGAAUUGGUCAAAAUAAUUUCGCUACCAGUACUUUAACGUAUGAAGUUUCUUUUCUUUUUCUAGGACUUCUUUUUCUGGUUCAUUGUAUAAAAAGAGACUGGAUCAAUUUAAGAGUGAUGUAAAUUGUUACUUAACGUCAGAAAAUUUACUUUUUCUUGUUCCUACUAUCAGGGCAGCGAAUGCUCUCACAGUCUUCCAUCUUGGUGGUUGGAGCUGGAGGACUUGGGUCACCAGUAGUGUUGUAUCUUGCUGCUUGCGGUGUUGGUAUUGUUUCUCUCAUAACGAAAAACCAUCUUGUUUUGCUUAUUUGUAUGAAUUAAUUAAUUAGUUUCUCUGUGUUCCCACAAGUUCUCACUUGUAACUCAUAGUUGAAAACAACUCUAUCUUAUAGAUCGUACUUUAUUUAGCAGUAUUACUUUUUCUAUUCUAUUAAACCUGUAUUCAAUGCCUCAAUUUUAAUUUUGGGCAUCUUUGUUACAGGUUGCUUAGGCAUUGUUGAUAGUGAUGUUGUUGAGCUUAAUAAUUUACAUAGACAGGUAUUUUUACUGCCUGCAACUUUAUUUUUCCAUCUUUUCUUCUCUCUACUCUCGAAAUAAGUACCAAUCGUUAAUUUAUUGAUUAUUGGUUCGUCUAACCUCAUAUUUAUAACCUAACUUAGUAAGAUUUGAUAAUCUUCCUUAUACCAUAUAUCGUCAUUAUACCUGGAACAAGUAUGAAGGUGUUAAAAUGAGAAAAUUAUGCUAUGUUAUUUUGCCUGGAGAAAUACACAAUAUUUGCCCGUUUUAUAUUUGUGUUUAUACACUUACAUUGUUCCUAUCUAUCAUGGCUUGAUUUUGGUUCUUUAUUUCUAUUAGAUUAUAAUUGUUUUGUUAAACGGGUGAUUUGGUUAACUUGCCCAAAAAUAUUGAUAAAUAAAAGAUGAGUUACUGUGAAUAUUGAUAAAUAUAAGUUCUCUUCUAUUACAUUCAUGUGAAUUUUGAAAUGUAUUAACUCCACUAAAAGUAAAAAAAAAGUUGUGACUGUUUUGCCUCUUUACCUUCUAUUGAGAAAUGUUUCUGAAUAUGUCAGAUAAGAUGAAUGUUUCCACCAGAACUAUCAUAAGAAUAGUAAGUCUUACAUAUUGUACAAAUAUCUCUCAGACCAUACUCUUUAAUUUCUUUGAUUUUGAACUACUUCCACACUUCGCUUGCUCUUUGUUUGGAUGUCUUUUUAGAAAUUAUGUCCAAAAUAUUCUGCAGAGGUUGCAAACUCUCACAAGAAAUACUAAAAAAUAAUCAAAUAAAAAAUAUUUGAGAAAAUUGUAAAACUAAAAAUUAAUAGAUUGAAUGUUGUCUUAAGAUUGGGAUCUUAUGCAGAGAGCUAGUGGAGAGAUUUUGUAGGGGGAGUUUUUGGAAAAGUUUAAAUGAGAGAAUAAAAAUUUGAAAUUAGAGAUUUGAGAGCAGAGAGAGAAUAGUAAUUAGAGAAGAAAGAGUAUUUUUUUUUUUUUUUCUGUUUUGAUGAAAUUGGAGGUUUGUAGGAGUAUUUAUAGGUGAAAAAAAUUUUAAUUUUUUUGUAACAAUUUAUUAGAGAGGGCAUUUUGGUUCACAUGGACCAAAAGAGUCGUCUCCAACAGGUCUAUGCCUGUUGGACCCUUUCCCCAAGGGUCUGCUGUGGGCACACCCUUGGGGAAAGAUCUUUUAGGCUUGGCUCCUAAAAGAUGAGUUGGCCUAUGCCUGGGCCUAGGGACGACCCUAGGCCUGGCCUAAAAUGCAUGGCCCUUCGGGCUUGGUUCAAGAGCCAAGCCUGAAGGGCCAUGCCUAGUGCGGUUAGUGCUUGGGCCGUGCUGAGGUGACGGGCCUGAGGAAGGUGGCCCAGAAUGACCUAGAGUUUCAGGCCUAGCCUAGCCGGGGUGACACGGGUAGUGUAGUAUUCAUGCUAUGCCUGGGUACCGCCCAAUGUCAUGUUGAGCCGCGUAGCUUGUGGGCAGCCUAGCCUGUUUUACAUUCCUAAAAACAACAUAUGCCAACCUUGCUAUGAAAUGGUAGUAUUUCAACAUUUAUCUAAAAAUUGCCAAGUAUUUCUAGAACUUUCAAGCUCUCUGUUCGAGUAAAAAAAAAGAUAUCUAUAUAAGAGUAAAAGAGAAGAAUAAUUAGAAUAGGAAUCAUAGCUUAUUUGGAUUCUUCAAAAAAAGAGAAGGAAAAGAAUUAAAAAAAAUUUCUAUUGUUUCCAAAAAAAAAAGAAAAGAAGAAAAAAAAAAGAGAAAGGAAAGAAUAAAAAAGGAGAGAAGGGUGGACUCACCCCUUUGGUCCGUACCGAGGAGGUGAGCCCACAUCCUCUUUCCAAAAAAAGAAGAAAGAAAAGAAUAAAAAAAAGAGAGAAAAGGAAAGGAAACAAAAAAAAGGUAAGAAAAGAAAACAAAUCUCUUUUUUUAUUUCAAAAAAAAAAAGAAGAGAAGAUAUACAAAUAGUAUUAAAUGUUUAAGUUCCUUAUAAGAUGUAAGGGAUAAAAAAUUUCUUUUUGAGGGAUUUAUUUUGAAUUUUUUCUAAAGAUAAUAAAUGAUUCUUGGAUCCCUAUAAAUUGGAUCCAAGGUGUAAGUAACAAUUUUUUUUUUUUGGUUUUGGCUAGAAAAAAAAAGGGCUUGAGAGAAACAAUGAAGAGAGAGAAGAAGGACAAAAAAAGAGGUAAAGAAAUUUUUUUUUUUUUUAUUUUCUCCCUACGUGUAAAGGGGGUCUUUAUCCCUGCCCCUCUCAUUCCACGUGCUGGCAGCAACAAAGGGAGGGGGGGUGUGCUCAGCACACCCCUCCCCCAAUCCGUACCCAAAAAAAAAGAAAAAGAGAGAGGCUUUGACUCUAAUGACGGCGCGACAACGACGACUUAGACAACGGCGCGACAAUGACGACUUCGACGACGCGCGAAGAGGCCAUAUGGCCUCUUUUCUUUUUUUUUAUUUUAUUUUCUACGAUGGUGAUGGGUUAGUGUAUACGUGCAAAAGGUGUAAUCGCGAUUUUUAUGUUGGUUUGAUCAACACGACCGUCUUCGUGAUAGGUUGAUCCGAUCAAAUUCGGCAUUGAAUCGUUAUUACAUUAUGCGUGCAUAUUUAUCAAGCCCGUCUCCCUCAACAUCGCCUCUGCUAUAAUGACGUCAAAAGAACAAUAUGUGUGCACAAGCGAUGGUGGCGAUCCUUGUGUCGGAUUGAUCGAGCGGCCGUCUUCGUGAUAGGCUCGACACUUUCAAUCUCGACAUUGGAUCGUUACCCUCAUUGGACCUAUAUUGAGCGGCCGUCUUCGCGAUAGGCUCGAUACGGUUGAACUCCGAUUCAAACUACAAUGAUGAUAAUAAUACUAAAAUAAUAAUAACACAAUAAAAUUUUCCUCGGGUCGCCGUCUUCGUGAUAGGUUUGACCCGAGUUCGGUUUAUUUAAACCGGGUCGCCGUCUUCGUGAUAGGCUUGACCCGAGUUCGGUUCAAUUAAACCGGGUUGCCGUCUUCGUGAUAGGCUUGACCCGAGCUCGACUAAUUAAAUCGGGUUGCCGUCUUUGUGAUAGGCUUGACCCGAGUUCGACUAAUUAAACCGGAUCGCAGUCUUCGUGAUAGCUUGAUCCGAGUUCGGUUCAUUUAAACCGGGUCGCCAUCUUCAUGAUAGGCUUGACCCGAGUUCGGUUCAUUUAAAUCGGGUCGCCGCCUUCGUGAUAGGCUUGACCUGAGUUCGGUUCAUUUAAACCGGGUCGCCGUCUUCGUGAUAGGCUUGACCCGAGUUCGACUAAUUAAAUCGGAUCGCUGUCUUCGUGAUAGGCUUGACCCGAGUUCGACUAAUUAAAUAGGGUCGCCGUCUUCGUGAUAGGCUUGACUCGAGCGAGCCAAACCAUAAUGAUAAAUCAAACCGGACGAUAAGCCGAUCCAGUCUAAUCAAAGGGUUUAAUUUAAAUCGAAUCUCAGACCGAUCAAUCUAAAUUGAACCAUUAAAGAUAUUAACCGAACCAAACCGAACUACAAGCUGGUUUGACUUGAACCGAAUCAUGAAGGAUUCGAACUAAAGUGGAUCCGAUUCGAACUGAACCGAAUCACGAAGGAUUCGAUUUGAAUUGAAGUGGAUCCGAUCCGAACUGAACCGAAUCGGAUCCCGUCUGAACCAAAUCACGAACGAUUCGAACCGAAAUGGAUCCGAUCCGAACCGAACUGAACCGAACCGGAUCCCGUCCGAACUGAACUAUAAAGGGUUCGACUUGAACCGAAGUGGAUCCGAUCCAAAACAAACCAAAGUGGGUCCGAUCCGAUCUGAACCAUAAAGGACUCGAUUUGAACCAAAAUGAAUCCGAUCUGAAUCGAACUGAACCAUAAAGGAUUCAAUUUGAACCAAAGUGGAUCCAAUCUAAACCAAACCACACAGGAUUUGAUUUGAACCAAAGUGGAUCCGAUCUGACCUGAACUACAUGAAGAUUGAGCUAAACCAAACCAAACCAUAAGUCGGCUCGACUUAAAUCAAAAUAUAAAGUAUUCAAGCUGAAUUACAAACUGGUUCAACUCAAACCCAAACCCAAAGACUGCGUUUGGUUCGGGUAUAAGUAAGAACUGCUUGUUCUAGGGAUAGGUACAAGUUCAAAUAUAAGCAGGAACUAGACCAAUUUUGCGUUUGGAUGAAAAUUGGGUUGUUCUUAGGAAUAAGAUAAAUAGUGUUUGGAUGGUUAGAAUGGAACAAGAGCAAUAAGAGUUAUAAUUUGAAAUUAAAAUUAUAUUUUGUAAUUAAUUAACAUCAAAAUAUUACUUAAAAAUAAAUAAUAAAUUAAUUAUUAAUAAUUAAUUAUAAAAUAAUAAUUAUUAAUAAUAAUUAAUUAUAAAAAAUAAAUUAAUAAUAUCGAUUAUCUAAUUAAUAAUAAUAAUAAUAAUUAAUAAUAAUUAAUAAAUAAUAAUAAUUAAUAAUUAUUAUUUAUUAAUUAUAAAUAAUAAAUUAAUAAUAAUAUCGAUUAUAUAAUUAUUAAUAAUAAUUAUUAUUAAUAUUUAUUAAUAAAUAAUAAUAAUUAUUAUUAAUAAAUUAUAAAUAAUAAAUUAAUAAUAAUAUCGAUUAUCUAAUUAUUAAGAAUAAUAAUAAUUAUUAAUUAAUUAUAAAUAAUAAAUAAAUAAAUUAUUAAUUAUUAAAGCAAUAAAUAAUGAUUUAAAUAUAUUAAUUAGAUUAAUUAAUAAUUCACUGCCAUUAAAAUUAAAUUUGGAUUUUAAUUAACCUUUUUCUUAUCAAGAAACAAGCUUAUUCCAGGAAAAGGGUGGAACAGCAGUUCCAGCCUUAUACCAGCUUGUUCUAGAAACUCGGGAAUUACUGUUCUCGGGUACCAAACAUACCGUUUGGGAAUAAAAGGGGGAACAAGGGCUUAUUCCCCUUGUUGUUCCCGAACCAAACGCUACCAAAAGGUUUUAAGUUGAGUCGGAAUGUAAGAGCUCAAUUUAAAUCAAACUCAAACAGAUCUUGAACCAAACCAUAUGGGUUCGAUCCAAACCGCAUUGAAUUAUAAGAAGGUCAAAGUUGAGCCAAGAUAUAAGGGCUCAACCCAACCCAAAAUUAAAGGGGGCUUGAACCAAGUCACAGAGGUUCGACUUAAACCAAGUCUCGACGGGCUCCGAACCAAAGCAUAAUGGUUCAACCCAAACCAAAUUCAAAGUGACCAAACAAACGUAAGGUCGUCCAACUCAAAUCAAACACGAAGGUUUUAAGUCAAUUCAACUUGAACCCAAUCGUGAUGAUUCGAGUUAAGUAAACCAGCUCCAUUCCAACCGAAGCAAAUUGGCGGUUCAAACUGAGCUAAAUUCAACUCAAUUGGCUAAGUCAACUUAAUCGACUCAUAAUCCGGAAACAAAUGUCCCUCAAGUCGUUAAACUGAACAAAUGACCCUCAAGUCGUUAAACUGAACAAGCAAAUCAAACUCAAUAUGACCAUAAAGUCGUUAAACUGACCAAUUAAAUCAAACUCAAUUUGACCACCAAGGCGUUAAAUUGGGUAAUCAAAUUAAACUCGAUUUGACCGUCAAGUCAUUAAACUGAGCAAAUUAAAAUGAAAUUCAAUCUCAAACCGACCGCCAUGUCAUCGACCGCCAAGUCGCUAAACUAAGUAUUCUAAUCUUAUAAAAUUCAUGUACAGUUGGGGUAUGCCCCUGCUUAAGCCAUGUACACGGCAAAUCGUAUUAAUAAAAUUUUAUCUGCUUGUUUUAUGUCUUUUACUAUCAGUAUUUAUAUUUGGUCUCUUAAUCGAGGGUUCCGUAACACCGAAAGUGUGGGGUAACAGCAGAUUCUUGAGUAUGUUGGAAGUCAUGAACCUAUAAUCUUAAUUUUAAAAUAAAACAUAAAUAGAUUUAACCUCUACCAUGAAUGACCACUCGCCUUAGAAAUACCUACGGCGGGGCCGGUUCGUUCGCGGCAGACGCUCUCCCAGUCAAACAUAAGACAAAUCAUAUUAGUCAUAUUAGCUCAGACCUGGGUGAAUCAAUUACAUAAUGUUUUCUUGCAAUGUAGAAGCUGAGAACAUCAGCUCUUUUGAGAUUCUUUCAGAUUCAUGGACUUUUUUGUGCCUUUGAUCAAGAUUGGGGAAUUGCUUAUAGUUCAUGGAUGUGUUGUGGUGAGGUAGGAUUUGGCAAUGAGUCUGGUUGGGUUAAGUUGAGGUGGCAUAGUAGGGUACAUAGGUUUGAUCCAAACUUGACGCCAUUUCUCUAGGAGACCAGCUUAGCUAGCGCUUAUUCAGGUUAUAAGUGCUACUUUGGUGAGGAUUUGCCUUAAAAAGCAACAAAAAUUUGGAGGAUAGAGCGUGAGAGAGAGAGAGAGAGAGAGAGAGAGAGAGAGAGUAGACCCUUUUCUUCUUUCAAUGUGCAACAAAGCAAACGAGGAUUCAAGGUUUAUUACUUUCCUUUUCUCCUUUCAAUGAACAACAAAGCUGACAAGGGUUUAAUAAUUGGCACUUUCCUAUGUAUGUGGGAGGGAGGAAGGGAAUGCACAACGAAGCAAACAAGGUUUCAAAUAUUAGUACUUUCCUAUGCAUAUAGGAGGGAGGGUGCAAGUAUAACAGAGCAGACGAGGGUUCAAGGAUUAGCACUUUCCUAUGUAUAGAGGAGAGAGAAUGGGCAUCAUUUCUUUUCUUUUCUUGGCGUCAUUCCUUUUCUUUUCUUGAUACAUGGUAAACUAGGAUAAAGUGGCAGCCUUAACAAAUAAUAUAGGGGCGAGAGAGUGGGAAGGGACGGCAGCCCCUCUUUGUUUCGGAUGCAUGCCAAAGAAAUGGUCCAAAUAAUAAUCUUUCAGUUGAGAAGAAAAAUCUAUUCUUUUUAAUGUAUCGACUAUUGAAUGCCCUUCGGUUAGGGCUGGCAAAUGAGCGAGCCGGCUCGUGUUCGACUCGCGUUCGACUCGAUAUUUGGCUCGCUCGAGCUCGACUCGAAAUUAAAUGACGAGCUUGAACAAAAAAAAAAGCUCGAAAUUCAUUUCAAGCCGAGCUUGAGUAUUACUCAGCUCGUUCGAAUUAGGCUUGAAAAGCUCGAAAAGCUCGAGUAUAUAUAUAUAUAUAUAUAUAUAUAUAUAUUACUAUGCUAUCGAAAGUAUAGAGGAUCUGGCGUUUUCGAUUUUUUGAUUCUUAGAUCAACUCCUUUAAUCAUUUCUUAUUUUUGGAUUAAUACUAUUAUUACCUUGUAAAACCACUUAAUUCUAGGGGUAUUAUUUAAUCCUAGGGGGGAUCGCAAUCAUUCCAACCAUACAAUUCUUAAUCAAAGGUCAAAAAUUCGAAAAUAUCAAAUUCUUUAUAUUUUCAAUAGCAUAGUAGUUCCACAUUAUAUAUAUAUAUAUAUAUAUAUAUAUAUAUAUAAAUUUAUAAUAAUAUUUUAAUUAUAUAUAGGCUGAGUGAAUAAUCUGAGUUUAGUUAAAAUUGGGCUAAUGUUGUUGGCCCAUAAAAAUAUUCCUAAUAGAACAAUAAAAGAGCGAAAUUUCACUAAAUUUAUACAUUUUUAAUUUCUUUUCUUUCUUUUAUAGAGCUUAAAUUCUCAAUAUGUUUCUCUCUUUCUCUUUUCUGUCUCUCACCCUAAGUGGCCAAGCCUGAAGCCCUCUAAGUUACCAAGUAACAGCAUAUACCCGCCGUUGCCUACCUUGCUAUUAAUUGUAUACUUGAGAAAUAUACAGAAUAUUUUUAAAGUAAAAAAUUAUUAUUCAUAUAAAAUUUUAAUUUUAGUUAUAUAUGAUUGGAUAGUUUAAUCCAAUAUUUAUCUAUAUAAUUUAUUUAUUUUUGACUGUAUAAAUGAAAAUAAAUAAUAUGGAGAUUGAAGGCGGAAGAAAAGACAUGUGAGGCUGAAAAGAUUAGAUAUUCAACUCAUAAAUUAUUUUUUUUCAUAUUAUAAUACUAUAUUUUGUAUAAUUAUUUUGUACUUUGAACUAUUAGACAUAUUUUUGUAUCAAAUUAUAGAUAAUGUUCUAUACAAAUUAAACUAUUGAUCGUAUGAUGUUGAGAAUUUCAAGCGGCUCGUUUAGGGCUCGAGCUCGCUCGACUCGAAAUUAGGCUCGCUCAAGCUCGGCUCGAAUUAAUUUCAAUCCAAACUUGAGCUUAAAUUUAGGCUCGAAAUUAAUUUCAAGCCGAAAUUGAGCCGAGGCAAGCUCGCUCGAGCUCGGCUCGUUUCCACCCCUGCCUUCGGUUUACCUAAAUAUAUCUGUAUGAAUGUUCUGAGAAGAACUAGUUGCCAUGACCUAUCCAAAAAAUAGUCUACCUGAGUUCAACCUUACCUGCCAACCUGUUAAAUGUUCUUGGCUUGUACUCGACACCUUUAACGAACAAAAGUGUUAAAAAUACCUUCUUGGGGUGGAGAUUGGCACAUCUAUGAUAGGUGAUUAUUUUGUAAAUCUUGAAACAUUGGUUGUAAAUCUUAAAACAUUGGUUCUGAUCUCCCGAAUAUUGUAAUUUGAUUCGAUAAUAGUUUCUACUCAAAUCUUUUAGAAAUGUGCCUUCUAUGUUAGAUAACUUGCUUUAGACUCAUGUAGCUUCUCUUAGUGCCCUGUUUUUGUGCUCAUAUGAAUACUUGUAUGAAUACACUCUUUUGCAGUUUUUGAUUGUCUAAGCAUGUAAGUCACAGUUGCUGAUUGCCAGUAAUCAUGCCUAUAAAUAUAAAAGAUUGCUGUACCAUGCGAUUUCAACCUUAUAUCUACCCAUUAGCUGUGACUUUUAGCCCCUACAGCUUUAUUUGUUGGCAUUGCUGCCAGCUGGACUUUUUGCAGAAUAAAAAAAAGAUAUUAGCAGGAAAGAAUUGUCAACACCCCAUUUUGCCUAUAAAAUGUUGUCUCGCAGUUGCUGCUCCUGUCAACCAUUAUGCCUAAGGCAGCGGCUGUUAUUUGCGAACUCCAAAUUUGUACUACUUUUAUGGCAUAAAAUGUUAAUUUUUGUUAACUAGUAUAGGGCCUGCACUGUGCGGCGGUAGGUGGUAUUUUAGACAAUUAGUAUAUUCAGUUAUUAAAAUUUUAAGAUUGAAAAAAUUAUAACUAAAGAAAUACAAAAGAGGAAAAAAAAACUAAAGUAGUCUUUUGUACAUUAUAAAAAAUAACUUUUUUAUUAAUAUUUUCUUAACUUUCAGCAUUUGUAAAAUUAAAUUAUACUAAUAAUUUUAUUUAAAAUUCAAUCAAAUUUUUUACUUUUGAUAGUUAUUUUGUAAAUAAAUUUUUUAACUGAAAAGUUGAAGUUGGAGGACUUAUUUUAAGUUGAAGAAUAGGUGAGGGUAUCUUUGUGUUAAGUAUAAAAAUAUAUAAACACCGUUCUCUAACAGCCUAAGCUUUUAGAUUAGAACGGUUGUUUUACAUAGUAUCAGAGUAGGUGGUGGUGAGUUCGAGUCACGCUAGGCUCUAGCAUUAUUAAUUUCCUCCCAUCCAUUUAAUUUAAGUUCACAUCGUAGGCCUUCUCGAGCCCAGACGUGAGGGGGAAUGUUAAAUAUAAAUAUAUAAACACCGUUUUCUAACAGCUUAAGCUUUUAGAGUACAAUGGUUGUUUUCUCACUUUGCCUUGUUAAAAUUGAUUGGAGAAAGAGAAACUAUUACAUGCACCUAGUGUAUAAUAAUACUCUAUACACCGCAACUUGUAUUAGAUGAUUAAUGCUCUAAUAUUAAAAUUUAAUUAAAUAUGUAUCAUCUACAAAGUCUAAUAAUUUAAAUUAUAUUUGAUGAAUUAAUUUUAAAAUCUCUAUUAAAGAGUUUUAGGCAUGUAGUGUAUGUACAAACAUACACUUGGUGUAGAGAAUGUUUAAUAAGAUGCACUCAUAAUUCCGAGAGAUUAGAGAAAUCUUUGCUUACACCUGGUGCGUACGAAUGCUCCAUACACCACACAGAAUAUUAGAUGAUUGAUAGAAUAUUUGAUAAUUAAUAUUGUAAAAUAAAAUAUGAUAUAAUAUAUAUAAUAUAAAAUAUCUAAAUAAUUUGUUGUACUACAGAAAUUUAUCUUUGAUGCACAUUUUAGAGUCGAUUUACGGUGAAAUGGGUGCGUCCAAAAUUUUUGUUGGAUAUGUGGCAAACUCCCAUUGGUUUAUGCCUUAAUUGGCAAUGUGGCUCUCUCACAAAGCAUUUUCUUGACGUGACCGAACUGUCAAAUUAUAUAUUGUGUAGAUUCCUGCUACUAUUUACCUUAAUAAUUACUCAUUGUAGUGGAGUUAACUAAUUAGGCUAUUGUUUGCAUAAAUUAUUUGACAAGACAUGCCUUUAUUCCAUUUAUAUAUAUCUAAACCGAUCUGUUCAUGUAAUUUAUUAAUAUCUGUUAAAAAUGUCUGGUUUCAGCAAUUAAGUUUUGUAUGUCCUCGUUCUUAGCCCUAGUAAUGUGUCAUUCUUUUAUAUUUUAUCAUUCUAUUUUAGGACUCUACUUUCUCGAUAUAUUGUAUAGUGUGCACAGAGCAUUUAUGAAAAGAACCCCCUUUAUAACAUAAAAAAUGCUGGAAUGAGGUCUCAUCAAACCAUUACAGAGACCAAAAGCAUGAAAAGUUUGUUACUCAAAUUUUCAUGAUACACAGCUAAACAUGAAAAUUUCUUUGUUUGUUUUGUUAAAUCGUUUGAUAUAUCUCCUCCAAGUCCAAUUUUAUACUUUAGGUUUUCUUUAAAUGUUGAUUCAGAUCAUCCAUACAGAAGCAUAUGUUGGGCAAUCAAAAGUUAAAUCAGCUGCUGCUUCUUGUCGUGCGUAAGUAAUUGUGCGUUUUUUGCAUUAUUAUAUAACUUCCAUUAUUGUAAAAGGCUACUGUGACUUGUGUAUGUCAUAUGCUAUAAUGAUUCAAUUUUUAAUGGCCAUUUUCACAAUUUCCUUUAUUUUAUGUUACCUCAGGAUCAAUUCCUCUGUUAAGGUGGUAGAACACCAAGAAGCUUUGCAGGCAAAGAAUGCUUUGGAUAUUGUUGAAAAGUAUCCUCAAGUGAGAAACACAUUAGAAUUUAAACAAACACUUCUAUUUGAUAUGAUCAUGCUCUUUCCCAUGCAAAUACAUUUUUCUUCUUUUUCCAAGACUGAAAUGAUCAAAGAUAUGAUAUAGUGGUUGAUGCAACCGACAAUCUUCCUAGCCGAUAUAUGAUCAGCGACUGCUGUGUCUUGCUCAAUAAGGUAAAACAUAUUACCUGUUUCUUUUGUUGGUGGAUUGGUAUCAUCAGAACAUAUAUUAUGUGUUGAAGCUUCUAGUAGUUUGUUUUUGUGCUUUCAAUUUAAUUGAAGCAGUAUAUUAGUGCAUAAAAUCCACAAAUUGUUAUUUAUGUCGCAGUUUCAGUUGUAUAUUUUUAUCGUUUUUCCUGUGAAUUUUAAGUUGCAGUGAAGAGAAUUUUUUUUCGUUCUUGGCGAUUACAAACUGAUAAUCCUGACAAUACACAUAUUUUACAUUCUUGGAGGGUCUGAUUUGUCCAAUACAUAUUUUUAUGCAAUGUAUGUACUGUAUGCGUUGAAAUAUGAAAAUAAAUAUUCAAACAACUUAUUUUGCUAUGCUUAACUGUACCAAAGCGUACAAACAUGUAUGUAUACAUACAUAUAUAUUAUAUAAAGACAUACACAGUUAUACACAUUCGAAUAAUUGAUGCAUGAUGGUCAGAUAAUCCUUUAGUGUAUUGCUUACCCUCGUUGACACAAUAGUGUGCUAUCUAUAGAUGAUUUUAACAUUUUAAUUUCAUUAUCUAUAGUAUUCUUCCUAUUUUCUUGACUGAGCUGUCUUAUAGAGGGAAGCAGAUAUCAGUAAGAUAUCAGUAUGUCCUGAUCUUGCAUUUUACGUGCUUGACUUAGAUAGUCAUUAAAUUGCAGAAUCCAAUGCCAAAAAAAAAUGUUUCAUUGUUAUCAUUUGAGGAAAUUAUUUGUCCUUUGAAGCUUUAGUGUGAGAAGCAACAAAUUAUUUAUUCUGGGCGUUUUACUGCUAUCAUCUGUGCUACGUACUUUUUGGUGGCCUUUUCCAUUGUGUUAGUUCAUGCAAACCUAUGAUCGACAUCUGGAUCAGUGGUCCAAAUAAAUAAAAGCCUGGAAACAUAUCAUCUCUUUUGGAGUUUCUAGUUAGAGAUGUCGAAUAAAUAACGCACACGGUCAAGUAGUUGGAUUUCUUAUGAUUCCCGAGUUAUUCUUUUACCAAACAAAGAGUAAAGUACAGUGCAUCUGUGUUUGCUUGUGUGAAAAUUGGAAUUGCCCUUGGACUGAUACUUCUACAUGAUUUCAGUGUGGAAUAUUUAUUGCUAUAUUAAUCCUAUUGAUUUAGCUUUUAGCUACAAUAAAAAUAAUUUUAUGCUUGACUGGCAAAUUCCUUCUUUCAGCCUCUUAUAUCUGGUGCAGCGUUAGGCUUGGAAGGGCAGGUAAAGUUUUCCUUAUUUGAAAUAAAGAUCAUGGAAGACUUUAACAUCUGUUGCCUUCGGUAUGUUCUUAUGCAACUUUUCAUGCAGCUUACUGUUUAUAAUCACAAUGGAAGUCCUUGUUACCGGUGUCUUUUUCCAACUCCACCACCGACGGCAGCGUGUCAAAGAUGUUCUGACAGCGGUGUUCUUGGGGUGGGUGAGUUGCUCAUCUUUUAUCUAUUGCAUGCUAUCGAAUUAUAAUCCAACUUAGCAACUUGGACUCUGGAGUUCUAGCUUGAUCCUCUUUCUCUCUUAAUGUAUUCUUCUAAUUUUUUCGGUUCAUUCUUUCUUUGCUUUGCAUUAUCCUUUAGUCCUUUUCACAGAAAUAGAUGGUGCACUAAUUUGCUUUCUUAAUGAUCAGUUCCUGGUGUGAUUGGUUGUCUACAAGCUCUUGAGGCUAUAAAAGUUGCUGCUUCUGUUGGUGAACCCCUCUGUGGGAGGAUGCUUCUCUUUGAUGCAUUGUCUUCUCGUAUUCGGACAGUAUGUUAGUUCAUACAGUUGUUAAAUUCAUCUGAUGGUUGAAAAUUUCAGUUUAAUUACUGCUAUUAUCAAAUACUUAGCUUCUUUAAUUCAUCAUUGUUUCGAAUGCUCUAGGCAAAUUUACAUACAUAUAUUACUGACAUGGAUAAUGAGAUUGAUUUGUCCUAAAAUGAGCUAGGCUUGUUUGUCUCUUUUUUUUUUGAUUCACCUCCUUAGUACAUCAAACCAGAGAAUAUGAAGAGGGGCUUUAAAUUUGGUCUUAGUAGAUACCGUCCAACAAUGUGCGAAGGUGAGAGGUAACCUAACUACCUAUCUGUCUAAACCUGCAAGUAUACUUAAAGCACGGGAGCUGAUAUUCAAUAUUCACAAAUCUAAGUUUGAUAGGGGCAGAGCUAUUUUCCGAUUAUGCACUUCAAGUGGUAACAAAAGUGGCUGUCAUUGAUUGUUUAAGGGGCAGACCACUUGAUAUUGCAUGGAUCUGUUCUGCCUCUAUCAAAAUAGGAGCUGUGAACACCAUCUCCCUUAAAGCAUGGAUUAAAUGUGAUUUUGCAUCUUUUUGUUUGAGGAUUCUUAUGUGGUGCAGAUUAUGUGAUAUUUCCUAUGUCAAGGCAAAGAAAGCACAUUUAUUUCUUCUUCUUUCUUCUUCCCCCCGCCCCUCUUCGGAGCCAUAUGUAUUGAACCCAGAGCCUAGGACUUGAGACCCAAAUUUACUCCCAUAUGGAGGCUCGAACCUCCAGCCUCAGAAUAGGCAAGUAGGCAUCUUGCCACUAGAAAAUGAUCAUGAAUGUUUUCUACCGAACAAAGCGAGAACAGAACUGUGGUAUGUGUUCCUGUAGUGCUCUAUGCAUGAAUAUUAUGUCCAGCAGGUGGGGAACUUUUGUAAUUAUACCGUUUGAUUUAUAGGCUUCAACCUGUCCCAUACUUGUAAAAUGAAGUUUGACAACUCCUGUAUAAAGUGUAUUAAAGAUCCAUUUAAUUUAGGGAAACAAAGGAUUAGGCCAAGAAAGUUUAGCAAUUAGUUUUGCAAUUUGAAUUUGUAUUCUGCAGUCCCAAUAUGAUGAAAGGUCUUACAAAAAAAAAAUCUUUGAGCAUCAUAUGAAAAAUAUAUAAAUAUAUCCUCUAUUAUGCCAUCAUAAUUGCAGUCCCAAUGUAGUGACAGCUAAUAGCAAUGUUUUCUUCACUCUCCUAUAUUUUAGUUUUUCAUUUCAAUACAGACAAGUCGUCGUGUUCUUCUGCAUCUCUCCGUUUAUGAACAUUACUGCAUUGAAAUUUUGAAUUGAUAUAUAUUUGAAAAACAACAACAACAGCACAAUCAACCAUUUCAGUUAGUUGCAUAGAUCUUUAUUGCUCAAGGUCCAAAGAGCUAUCAUCUUUCGUCACAAACUUUUUUGUUUUUCCUCUCCCUCAUAUGACAACUGUAACUUGAGAUGCACACUCUUCCAGACUGGUGGGUACAGGGCAUCUGUCAAACAUAUUCAAACCAAGGAUUUUCUCAACAACAACAAAAAAAAAGAUUGCAUUAAAGUUGUCAUGUUUUUUUUUUUUCCUGCUAAUCUGAUGGCUAAUGUCUGUUUAGAAUUCAGCAUCAAUUUGGCAAUCAACUUGUUGAUGCAAGCUUAACAGCAUGACAUCUACAUGCCGCUUGAAAAUAUUCUUCAAGAUCUAUCUGUUUGUUUAUGAUCAUGUUUCGUUGUGUCAUUCAGAAUCUUGAAACAAAGCUAAUCUUCCUAGUAUUAUGCUGAUGUACAUGGCUUGAUAUGAUCUUUCUGGACGAAAUAUGUGACCGAAUUUUUUUAUUUUUUAUUUUUUUUGGUGACCUAUACUAGGGCAAGAAUUUACUUUCUAGUAACAUUUGUUAUCAUUGUUACACUUGACAACCUGAAGUUCUUUGGUUUGAACUCUCUUUGUUAUUCAGUACUGUCGGAUUGUUAUGCCUAAAAGGUAAUCAAAUUGGUAUUACAUAGGUUUGUGUUUUUAUUUGCACUUUGAUGAGAUCUCCACUUUGAUGCCGAUAAUUGGACUAUUGUAUCAUGCAAGAAUGAAAUUUAUAUAAUGGAAGUGCGACAUAAGAAACUAACACAGUAAUAUGCCUGAUAGUAUUCUUUCCAAUUUGAUCAUAUCAUUAUUAUUAUUUUUCUUGGUACUGCUUUUGUACAACCUAAAAUCUUUUAAGAUAUUUAGCACUUCAGGGAUUUACGUUAACAUUUGGGACAAAAUUCCCAGGUGAAAAUUCGAGGAAGAUCGCUGUAUUGCAGUAUCUGUGGAGAUAAUUCAGUUUUCACCAAAGAAGAAUUUCAAACUUUUGAUUAUGAGAGCUUCACCCAGUCUCCAAUGUCAGAUAAGGUAUUUUUUCUGCACAAUUAAUUUGAUUUUUCUUGGCUCACACUUUUAUCAUUCUACUGGAUAUUUUCCUAAAUGCUUAUUAUCUUUUACUUUUUGUUGAACGACUAGAAUUACCUAAAAAAUGCACGUAAAUGUCUUGCGAUUAGUUUUUGAUGUUGAAAAUAGUCAUGCAGAAUAUUUGUUUUUCCUGUACAUAAAUUAAACAUUCUUUCACCAUUAGCAAAUCAUAUCCCAAAAUCAGUAGGAAGUAAUUCAGCUUUGACUUGGUUAGAACUUGGGUUCUAAGAUAGCAGAGGAAAUUUAUUGAUUGCAUUUUUACUUCUUACAUAUUUAUUUGCAAGGCACUGAAACCUUAUUUAAGUAGCAUGUUGACUUUUAAAUCACACAUGGAAAAUAACAACCGCCAGGGAAAUUCGCCUAAGGCUGCGUUUGGUACCAGGAAUAUUCCGGAACAACACGGGAUAUCCCCCAAUUUGUAACCAAACGGUGAAAGAACAGAGGGAAACGGGUUGGUCUGAUCAAAGCGGAUUGUUUUGGAACAACCCAUUAAAAAUUGUUCCUAGGAGAACUGAGAACAACUUUAUUCUUCUCUUUACUUUAUUAGAUAAAUAGAUAUAGAAAUCAAUAUAUUAAUAUAAAUAUUACUUUUAUGAUAAUAUAUUUAUACUUAAAUUUUAUUAUAUAGUAUAAAGUAAUUAAAUUUGAUAUAUUAUUUAUUUUAUUAAGAUUUAUCAUUUAUAUAUUAAUAUUUAAUUAUUUUAUUUUAUAUUAAGUAUUCUAUAUAUAAAAUUAUUUUUUCAUGUAUUAUAAUUUUUUUUAAUUUGUAUUGAAAUUUAUACUAUUAUUAAUUAAAAUUAUAAGGAUAUCGUUACAUAUAUUAUGAAUAAAUUGUAUAAAAUAAUUUAUUAUUAUUUAUAGUAAAAUAAAUAUACUAUUUAAAAUUAAAUUGUUACAUAAAAUAUUAUAUUAUAAAUUACUAUAAGAAAUAACUUUAUAAAUAAUUUUAUAUAAAAUAUACUAAUAUAAAUUAAUUAUUUUAUUUUUAAAAAUAUAUUUUUAGAUACUGUUCUAGACUUUGUCCAAACGCUACUAAGGAUAUCCUCGAGAAUAUCCCCGAAUACAUCCAAACAGAAAUUUAUAAUUGUUCUAUCUUGUACCGGAAUAUUCCUUGUUCUCAGGAACAACAAAAGUUGUUCUAAAUGAAAUAAACGAAACGGGUAGCGUGCUACCUAUCUCUCUCAAAAAAAAAAAAUAGUUUUCCAACCAAAUGCAGCCUUUAAGAGACCGUUUGGUUCAAGUUUUGUAAUAUUGCGGGAAUAUUGUAUAUUUUAUACUAGGAAGGGUAAGUUUGUUGCCAACUUGUCAAGCUAUCUGGAUUAGGAGAUUGUUAAGAGUUGAUAUAUUCUUAUUAAUAGACUACAAAUGAUUCUUGUCAAGCAUGAAAACGAGAAUGUCUCCUAUCCCAUAUUAAUCUAGUAUUCUAAUUGCUUGGGAAUCUACAAUGAUUUCACUAUUCAUAAUAUCUUUUACAACUAUCUAACUUGAGUUGGAUGGCAAUGAUUGGAAUAUUUUAAUAGAAAUAUGGAAGAUUACCGGAAUAUUACAAUCUUGAACCAAACGGCCCUGAAAAGAUCGUUGGAGUUUCCCUCUCAAGUAAAGGUAAAAACAAGAGGGAUGCUUUAAACUAUAGUAUAGGCUAUUUUGGAAGAGACCACAAACUAUUUUUCUUUUGAUUGACACUCCUGACCUUUUGAUUCUUUUGAUUUAAGUUAUUUUUAUCAAUUAAAUUUGAGAUUUUAUCAGUUCAGCAGUGAUUCUGAUGAGUUUAAUUGUUCUGAGAGCUUUCUCGGCAAAUGAAACGACGGAUUCGUUAAUUGUUCACAGCUUAUAGCUAAUGAAGCAUUUUAUUUUAAUGAAUCCCCAUUUCAAGUCUGGGAAACCAACUCAAAUUUAAACAAUUAAAAGUCGAGGGGUGCCGAUCCCAAAAAAGGAAAAACUGAACGGUCUUUUUCUUGAAAAUUACCAUCAAUGCUCGUAGUUUUUGAGGGGCUUAUUUGCGAUAAAAACUGUGCAUGUUAGACACACUUGUGCCGUGAAGGACCCAACCGCAAGUGACCGUUAAAGUUGGAAGUGUGUGCAAAAUUACCAAUUCAUUAGAUGUGAAGCAAUUGAUACAGUAAAAUUAUCAUUAAAACUAAGUGAACUCUGUUGGUGUUUCAAUUUAAUGCAGUCGCGACCGAAGCUGAGCCUGCUUCCAGAUGACGCUCGGAUCACCAGCAAAGAGUACAAAGAAAUAGUCGACAAGGGCGAGUCGCAUAUGCUCUUGGACGUACGACCUGCGCACCACUUCAGAAUAACCUCGAUCCCUCAUUCGGUGAACAUCCCGCUAUCUGUAUUGGAGGGCGAGUUUUCGAAGCUCGACUCGGCUCUGACAAGUUCGGGCGAGGGCUCUGCCUUGUAUGUGGUUUGCAGAAGAGGCAACGACUCCCAGCGGGCGGUUCAGCUUCUCCGAAACAAAGGGUUUGUUUCCGCGAAGGAUAUCAUCGGGGGUUUGGAGUCUUGGGCGCAGGAUGUUGAUCCGAAUUUCCCUGCAUAUUGAUGUAAUAACUCCUCGAAUCGAGGACUAGGGCAACUAUUUAUUUUAUUUUAUUUAUUUUAUCGGGCGAGUUGCGUGAUGUACGAACAAAAAUGUAUCACCAUAAAUACUGACCAAAAGUGUAAGGGACGUAGGUAGAAUCUGAAGCUCUUCCAGUGUAUAAUGUACUCUCUAUUUGUUACCCAACAUUUGAGUUCCAGGUAGGCAUCAUCUUACUUGAGUUUCCCUUUUUUUUUUUUUUCUUUUUAAUAAAGGUGUUAUCUCUCUGAUUAAAAUGUGUGGAUCAAGGAUUUAAGUAUCCAUUGAUACGAGCAGAAUCUACUGUAAUGUGUAAUAUCGAUAUGAUACAACUCUUUUGCGGAUGAUACACUUUAAAACCCUCUUUUCUGUAAAUUAGUCAGAAAUUUUUUUUAAUGAAGUUCGAAGAUUUGAUAAAGCUGUAUAAUAAAUAAUUAGAAUAUUUUGUUGUUAAAAAAAAUAAAAAUAUUAUGUAAUUAUGUGUCGGUACACAUGUAUGUUUUGUGCCCGAUAUUUUUCGAUAUGGUCUGGUAUGUAUCGUGCUGUGCUGUUAAAUUUUCUGGCAUAAUGUUAUGCCACAGCAUUUAGAUCUCUGGUAUGGAUGAUACCUGCACAAUUUUGAUGUGACAAGUUGGUCAUUGCACUUUUUAUGUAGACAAUUAUUUUUUUGAAGAAGAACUGCCUAAUAUUGAAACAGGGUUAAGUAGGCUAUUGGUUCCCAACCUUGACCUUUAUUAUUAUUAUUAUUAUUAUUAUUAUUAUUAUUAUUAUUUCUUUUAUAAUUUGAGUCCCAAGUUUUUUAAUUUUUGUAAUUAGGUUGCCAAAUCUUUAAUAUUUACUCCAAUUAAGUCUUUUCAAUUAAAAGUGGCAUUAGAUUAGACGGGAAUGGCCACAUUACAAGGGGUGGUGCUGACUCCUCAUCAAUUUUUGACGACGGUGAUUUAAUUGAAAUAAAAAAAAAAGACAAAGAUUAGGGAACCCAUGGCAAAAAUUAAUAGGUUGAUAGAAAAAAUGUCGGUGAUUAAUUUAAUUGAAAAAGAAAACAAAGAUUAGGAACCCCAUGGCAAAAAUUAAUAGGUUGAUAAAAAAAAAAAAGUCCUUUUCUUAUGAAAUGACCAUUUAUCCUUUCUCUAAUGUGCUUAUAUAUAUUAGUUCUUUAUUUAUUCAAGCAGGAUUCGAACAGAUUAUUUCUUUUACAGCAAAAAUUAAGAAUCUUCUUAAUAUUCAGAGAAUGAAAAGUGCAUAUACGAAUGGAAAGUUAAGGGACCCAGUGGCGACGUCGCGAUAGAUCGGUGGCUAUUCAUCUAUUUUACCUUUUUUUUUUUUUUUUUUUUUUUUUUUUUUUUUCUUUUUUUGGAAAAUUCUGUUUGCAAACUAAAAGUAGGAUGCAGUUAAUCUUACAUACUAUCUGGAGUUCAUAAAAAAUUUAAAUAAAUUUUAAUAAAAAAUUUGGUGUGAUAUGUAAAAUUUUUUUUUUUUAGGAAGCGUUUGGUUGGCGGUAUUGAUUAUUUAAAUAAUUUGGUAAGUAAUUCGGUCGAAAAUAUUUUAAUUUUAAAAAAAAUAUAAUUCUCGAGAAUCUUAUUAAAGGUGGGGGAGGGAGUACCCACAACAGGUACUUGGAAAUCAUACAAUUCUCGAUAAUUUUAUUGCUGUGCAUAUAAUUUUCGUUGACUUUUCAUUAUUCAAGAAUCAUGUAUAACACAAACCAACCGUUUCAAUAAAAAAAAAAAACAACUGUCUCUAAUGCAAGUGGCAAAAGAGGGUUUGGUGGUUGGGGGUUUGGUGGUUGGUACAAGAGAUUUCAAGUUCGAAUCCUAGUUGAUUUAGCUUUUUAGCUAAGUUCAUUUUUAAAUAAAAUAAACGAAACAGAUAGUAUACUACGUACCUAUCUCUCAAAAUAAAAUAGACUCGAUAAAAAAAGAUGUAAGAUAUAAUUCUAUUUUGAGGUAUACUAAUUAUAGCAUUGCAUUUUUUUUUUUUUUCUCUUGACGUAGAGAGCAUAAAUUAACAUGGGACACGACUAUUUAAACGAGAAUACCCGCUUGCUAGCUUUGGCUUGUGCGUAUGGGGGAGGUUUCAGGUGUGCGCCUGCGUUACAUAUAAGGAGGAGAAUUAAGGGGCCUACAAACCAGGUAAAAGAAAAAAAAAGAAAAGAAAAAAGACUAAAUUAAAUGAGAAAUUGUUGUAUUAAUUUCUCUGUUUUGGGAUAAUAUUAAUAAUUGCAUGCAAUUAAGUUGCCUUCUAUUCAUUGUUAUCUCCAUUUUUUAGUGUCAUAAUUAUAUAAUAAUAAUAAGAUAACCAUGCUAACAUUUGUUGCCUCCAAAACGAGCCUGCACUUUGGAGAAAUUAGCUAUAAUUCACAAAAGAAACCUACAUAUAUGUUUUUGCUAACCAUUCUUAUAUAUGUCAACCUCUUAUCAAUCAUGGUCUACUUGUAAUAAAAUGGAAAAUUAAUUCAUGUCUACGCCAAUCCACAAAUCAUUUACCAAAAAUAUAUAACCAAGCUAACUCCAUCAUUAAUGUUUUCUACAUAUUUGAUCCUCUUAAGUAAUCAUGCAUACAUAUACAGGUAGAGAUAAAUACAAAGAGAGAGAUAAAGAGGAGGGAGAAGAGAGGAAGCAAUUAUAUGAAAUGGGAUGGUCGGAUAGAUUUGCGCGGUGCUAUCCGUUUGCCGCCUUAGUUGCAGAGGUCCUCUACAACGUAUUUCACGGAGGCAAACGACAACCUGAGUACUCUUCCUAUGGACACGGCGACCAUCCGAGGCAAAUCCAACAUGCGCCGAGCCCGAAGAGCGACAGAAGAUACUACUACAAUAGCAAAGAGAAGCGAAGGGAUCACGAGAAACGCGCGAGCCGAUGCCACGUCGACGACCCCAAGACGGUCGGUGAGGAAUAUUGGGAUAUGAAGAGCCACCGCGCGUCGCAGCGGAGAAAGACUUACGAGGAGAAAGGGGUGUUGAGGAGGAUGUACAAGGACUCGAAAGGCAAGGAUCGAGGUGGUGGAGCAGAAGCAGUAUCGUGUGAAGAAGUACGAAGAGCACCACCCGCUUAGUCCGGAGCUGACGGAGAGCAGGGGGAGAAGGAGCUGGUUUAGCUAGGUAAAAGAUCGAGUCGGCAGUCAUCUGUUCUCGUGAACGGGUGGAUUAGGUCUCCUAGAUCAGUCAGCCUAUUGUUAUUGUCAGCAUCUCUUCUCUAUCUCUCUCCAUGUCAUGUAUAUGUCCGGUUUCUUAUUAGAGUCUGUUCUGUUGUGUAUGUAUCUGCAGUCGAAACUAAGUUCCUCGUAAUAUUAUGCUGGCAUGGCCUUAUUAUGUGUAAUAUAUUGAAGGACGUUAGCGUUAGUAAACACAAUUGUAAAACUUUCAUGUAAAUUGAUGUUUGGAGUAGUAACACUAGGGUGUCUAAUCUUUAUAUAUCCAAUUUACAAUCCUAUUCUCAUUCGAUUGUUACUCUAUUAAUUACCCAGUGAAUGAGAAUGCUUAAGUCCAAUUAUUUUUUAUUACGGUCCGUAGUCUCUUAUAUUCUCAAUCACAAACUGUUUUCUAUCCGAUGCGGGAAUAUUAGAGUGUUAUAAACUCCCUCCGUUUAGACCCUGACUUUUUCGUCAGGUCCAAAUUCAAUCACACAUAUAUAUAGACUAAAAUUAUUAGGUGAUGUGAGAUUUGAUAGGUGGCUGUUGCUUGUUCAAAAGAUAGCUCCCAACAAACCCAUGGUGUAGCACUUUAUCUUGCAUAAUACUUAGCUCUCACAUUUCCGGUUAGUACUCGGUUUUAAUACCAAAUGUAACGACCUGAACCACUAGCAAUACGAAAUUGUUGGACCCAAACAAUUGGUCCAAAAUGUUUAAGCCCAGUUAUUAUUACUAUGAUCUACGGUCCUUUUAUAUUUUCAAUUACAACCCUUUUACAUCUGAUAUAGGACUAUUGCGGUAUUACAGAUUUCUCUCAUUCAGACCUUCUAGACUUAACAACCUUAGCAAAGCUGAUGGUACUUUACUCUUAUAUGCUCCUCAAGCUCCCACG